UGUUUUUUUUUGUGUGUGGGAGUCAUUGGGAUUUCAAUCAUAAUAUGUCAUGUGGCUUUGGUGGUAAGACUAUCCACAGUGGUGCAAAAAUAAUGCAACCUUAGUCACCUUACCUCUCUCCACGUAGUACGUUGGGUCCCACCAGUCAGAGGGUGAAACAAAAAAAUUAAUAAGAAAAAUUAAAAGUGCCAGCGGUGUUUCUUACCUCACACAUCUCGCUACUGCUCGGGAACACUGUCCAAUUGAUCCCUCUGUUCGCUCACAUACUAUUUUAAGUGAAUCCUUAUUAUAACAUGCACACAAAUUUUGGGCACUUGUAUUCGACUUAAGUCAGUGUGCCACUGUAUCUCGUAUACUUACUACUCCCUCCAUCUAGGUGUAAUAAGUCACGUUAGAAGGUGCAAUGGGACCAAGGUGUGUGUGUGUGUGUGUGUGUUUAACAACAUGUGUGUGUUAGAGAGAGCGACAGAUCGACCUACUCCUACAGAGAGAUGUUGUGUGGUGUACGAUUUUAGCUGCGAUAGUCGGUGCAUCCUCUCAUUUCCGGGCGUGUCCGGUAGGGAUAUGCGGACAGCUGCCACGCCCGCUCCUGACCAGGCUGGCCCACCCAAAGCCCCUCCAUCGCCCGCGCGCGCUUCCCGCCUGAAACGGUCAGCGCCGCUCCAAAGAAUCGGUGCCGCAUUCAUACCCGGGCAGAGCGGACACAACCUCUCACUGGCGCAAGAGUGAUGGUUGCUUCGUCCGUCCAACUUACUGCUGGGUCUAUGUGAUUUGACGGCUCAUUGGUCUUUAUUACUGAGGUGGUAGGACUGCUGGAUGUCCCACACUUUCGGCGAAAGGAGGUACUAUUACUAGAUUACAAUUUUCUCCAUUCUUACAGUGGAGGCAUGCAAGAGCAGUGAAAACACGCAGGCUCAGUGAUUACAUGGCCCACCUCACACUAUCACCGUGCGACACCUAACUCUUUACAUAGUACUCCCUCCGUUCCUAAAUAUUACUAGAUGAGUCCCCACGCGUUGCUGCGGAACAGCGGUAUAUCUCUCGGUGCAAAAUUAUCGAUUUCAUAGAACUAAAAAAACACUAUAACCGCAUGACAAAUGUGGUAGCCAAACUAAAUAAACUCCCAUCAUCAUUUAGAUCAACCCACGUAAGGAAAAAAGAUCAGCCAACUCCUACUACAUAAUGUGAUUAUAUUUUUCUUUUUGACAUGUUAAUGGGACUUAAAAGCUCACUUACAUGCAUGCUACCGCUGCAUGCUUUCACGCAUACAUGUUGAUGUGAUUUAAAACCCACUCACAUGCAUGUGCCACGGUAUUUCUGCAUGCUUGCAUGUGGCUUAGUGCGGAGCCUCUCAACGUCUAGAUCAGAUGGCUAUUAUGGACUGAUUUACUUCAUCUAACGGCUACAUCAAUUUUGAUGAUGUGUCUCAAGGAGAGGAUAGAGAAUUCCUAGUAGAGGGGGCUAGCUAUUACUAGUAGAUAAGUCUUUGUAGAGAUUCCACUACAUAUGGAACAAAAUGAAUGAAUCUACACUUAAAAUGCAUCUAUAUACAUCUGCAUGUGGUUCAUGGUGAAAUCUCUACAAAGACUUAUAUUUAGGAACGGGGGAGACAGCGUACUAAGCAAGCUUCUCCUCGUUCUGCAAGUUGACCGGACACAUCAAAAGUACUCCAGUGCAUAGAGCCUUGCCUCUAAGGUAGGCCCCACAUGGUUUGCCUCUUUUUUUAACAUAACACGUCAAGUCGUAAUGUGUUUGUUCACCCGUGGUAGACGAUCCUCCCUCCACCAAGUGGACAACCAGUACAUGUGCCAAAUUACCAUGUGGGCUGCCUUUUUUGUACAGAAAUGAGCUCCACCAUGUACCCGCGCGCGUGUGGUUGGGAAAGAAACGAGAGUGCGUGUGCCGUGCAUGCACCUCUUCUCUUCGUGCACGUCCCCCACCUACGUGGGUGUGUGUGAGAGAUACAAACCACGUUCAUGAGUGUUUUUUGUUUUGGGGUGGGGGUGGGGUGAGGGGUUGAUUUCGUGAAUUAUUUGUGGGGAUAUGUGUCGAUGACAUCUCAAACAAAAUUUUGCAUGAAAUGUGUGUGAAAUGGAGGCCUAUCCAUAUCAUACAUAGAGGGUCAGGCAAUCUACGAGAAGAGAGGGAGGGGUCAUAGCUAUCGAUAGAGUCGAAGAGAGGAUCAAGUGGGUGGUGCGAGAUCGAUGAAGAGAGCCAUCAAAAUUGUGUGUGUGUGUGUGUGCAAGUCAAAGAUAUAGGGUGACUGGCCUACCAGAACGUUAGAGGGCACAUGUCAAGUUUGUGUGUGGCAAGGAGACAUGACUAGAGCGCUCGAUGUAUCGGUGUGUGUGGGGGGGGAGGGGGUGGGGGGAGGGGUAGGCAGAGGCCUAACUAUAGAGUUAGAACGACUUGUAUAUGUGUUGAGAAGGAGAGACCUAGCUAUGUCUUGAUGAGGAUCGGUCGACAUCCAUACAUAACUGAAGGACGGGAAAUAUGAUGGGACAGAGAGAGAGAGAGGAGAGAGAGAGGGAGGGAGGGAGAGGGGUAGAGUGCUGGAUGGGUGAUGGAGUUGCUUCUCGAAGAUGGUGGGAGAGGCCUACUAGACAAACUGAGGGUGGAACUGCAAUGUUAUCAAUAAGAGUGGGGAUGUGUUUCUGUGUGUGCCUAUGCAUGAUAGAUCUGUCGGGACGCAUCCAUGGAUGAUGAAGGGGAACCAUGUGUUUGGUAAGAAACCUAACUAGAUUGGUAGAUCAAUUGUUGUUUGUCGGAGGAAGGGAGAGAGACAACUAAUGAGGUAGAUCGAUUGACAUGUGGGUAAAAACGAGUUAUAAGGACCUAGCUAGCUAUAUGUAUAGCGAGAGAUCGGUCGGUGUACGUCCAUUUGUUAGAGGCAAAUAAGGCCCAGCGAGACGGAUAGACAGAGAGAAUGGAGCUAGGAGGUGGUGCGAGAGGCCCAACUACUAGCUAGAUAGGGGGAGGAGUGUGCGGUUGUGAGAUCGAUGAAAAUAGGGGCGAGAGUUUACACAUGUGUCUGACCGUAUGAGAGACACGAGGCAAGGACACAUAAAGGAGGAGAUUGAAGGUGUGUGUGUAUGUUGUAGGCAGGCAUCGCUGGAGAGGUUUAUCGAUCGGUGUGUGUCGGAGAGGAGUUGUGGAGACUCUCGGAGAACGACCUAAAGAAAAAAAAUGAAUGUGCCCGGUGUAUAGAAUGCCGAGGGAGGGGGAGGGCGAGGAGGGCGUGUGCAUGCACAAGAGAAAGUUAGUGGUAGCUACAAAGGUUAGAGGAUUGUGUGGGUGUAAGAGACUAACAAAGAUCAUAAUUUGAUAUGAAAGCGGAUUCAUAUAUUUGAAUAGGAGAUCAUAGUGUUUUAAACAUUGCAUGCAUGAAUAUAGCGGUGAUACACGUGAUGUGCACAUGUUAUACCAUAAUGUGAUAAUGCAUGGCGUUUGCAACUCACAGCUAAAUGCCGAACAAUCUAAAUCAUACUAUACAUCAAACAAUCUCACAUUUUAUUUGAAUUUGUGAUAAUGUGUGGCGUUUGUAGCUUACAACUAAAUAUCGAACAAUCUAAACAAUACUAUAUAUCAAACAUUCUCGCAUUUUAUUUGAAUUUGUGGUAAUGUGUGGUGUUUGCAACUCACAUCUAAAUACUUGUAGGCGUAGGGGGCGGAGCACCAUACAUAAUGUGAUAAGCACAUUAUACAUAUGAGACAUGGUUUAGAUUAUGAAGAUCUAGCUAGAGCUAGAAAUGUAAUGUGAUUUGAAAUCAAAAUAAAGUGGAUUCAAAAAAUCUAGUUUGAGUUCAUAUAGUACACAUAGUUCAUAUGUAACUCGAGACUAAUCAUGUGGUGUGAUGUGAAGAUAAUACACAAACGAUGGUUUAACUUGACAAUAAUGAUGAUUGUAGAUCUUAUUAAAACAGAGAAACAAAUUCAAAUGCUUUGACUUCACAACAAUCAUUACUGUAGAUCUUAUUCAAAUAGAGAAACAAAUUCAAAUUUAGUUCAUAUUGAAGCAGUAGUAUAUACGUUUGGAAUGCACUAAAACAUUCAUUUGAGUAGUAGGUUGCAUGCAUUAUACACACAGAGAAAUAUUUUAAUUGAACAUAACAUGAAUUCAAAGUUUUGAAUGACAUUUGUAGUGCGCAUUGAUUUGGUACAGUACACGUUAGGCUUGUCCGGAAAUUUCAACCUGCGCCUUGUUAGCCCGAAAUAUUUAAGAUAUAUCUUUGUCUCGUUGUGCUUUGACAACUCCCUCCAUCUCAACCCGCGCCUUGCUAUUCUGAAAUUACAACGCGCGCGAAAAAUCCCACCUCCUGUGAAAUCCCGACAUGCGAAAUGCCCGUGGUACCCCUGAACCGAAAGAACCGCCUCAAAUCGGUGGGGGUACUUUCGUAACUUACCCCACAUUUCGAACAAGCGCGUCUCUAAGCCAUGGUUCCCCACUGCCAUCCCAUCCGCCCACCCAUUCGUACACCGAGGCCGUGAAAACCCGCGACGAAACCCCACACCCUAUUCCGUCCGCCACCCAGCCGGAGCCUCUUCCCCGACGACAUCGUCCAUAGCAACACCUCGACGUCCCUCAUCCAUCGUACCGGAUGAGGAUCCGUCAUCGAUCUCAUCGUCCCGCCGGUUCAGCCACCCCAUCCUCCACCUCCCAGGAGCUGCCCCGACAUUCCCCUCGUCUUUCACGCCACCUCCAUUCCCACAUCACCGUCUUCACCUGCACCACCGAAAGAGCAUCAUCAUCACUGUUUCCUCGGAUGAAGCUGCGGCCUUAUCGGCGUCACCAAAGAGGUUGUACACUAAUCGCCGCAUUUUCUUCUUGAUUCGAUCUCACGGUGCUGCCGGCGCUCGGUCCCGAGCCGACACGGCGCGGCUCCAUCCACGACGGCGUCACUGGCCACUUCCUCCAUGGUGUCGCUCCCUCGGCGGCGAUGUCCACAUCAGUAGGAGCUCCUGCUGCUUUAGCUCUCGCUCGCGCUGCUGCUCUGCUCUUGCUCUCGGUCCCCUGCCUGGUCUGCUCUUGCUAUUGCUCUUGCUCUUGCUGCUGCUCUCGCUCUUGCUCUUGCUUGCGACGCUGCUCCGAUUUAGCUACACUUCAAUCGACUGAAUCGACUUUUGGGUCAGUCAAUUUUCAGGGGGUGGGGGUGAAGGAAGAACCAGCCGCAGCGGGGAGGGGGGCUCGCCGGAGAGGUACCCCACUAUCUACCUUAGGGUUCAGGAUGGGGACGGUGGUCACCGGCGGUGGCGGGGCGUUAGCGGGGCAGUGGCGUGGGGAUCGCCGGAGAAAAAGCUCNNNNNNNNNNNNNNNNNNNNNNNNNNNNNNNNNNNNNNNNNNNNNNNNNNNNNNNNNNNNNNNNNNNNNNNNNNNNNNNNNNNNNNNNNNNNNNNNNNNNNNNNNNNNNNNNNNNNNNNNNNNNNNNNNNNNNNNNNNNNNNNNNNNNNNNNNNNNNNNNNNNNNNNNNNNNNNNNNNNNNNNNNNNNNNNNNNNNNNNNNNNNNNNNNNNNNNNNNNNNNNNNNNNNNNNNNNNNNNNNNNNNNNNNNNNNNNNNNNNNNNNNNNNNNNNNNNNNNNNNNNNNNNNNNNNNNNNNNNNNNNNNNNNNNNNNNNNNNNNNNNNNNNNNNNNNNNNNNNNNNNNNNNNNNNNNNNNNNNNNNNNNNNNNNNNNNNNNNNNNNNNNNNNNNNNNNNNNNNNNNNNNNNCGGGCGGGGUGGCGCACCGCCGGUCGUGGGCGGCGGGGGGCUGCUGCUUGGCUGAUGGUGGCUGGCGGCUCAGGGGGGUGGAGGUUGAAGAUGAACCGCAGACACUUGAUUUCGUAUCCAACGGCUGUAAAAUUGACUGACCAGAGAUGAAAAAGUCAGUCGACCGACAUGUAGCCUCACCUUGCUAGUGCGUUCAGUUUCGACAGCAAAAAUCAUUUUCGACAGUUAAGUUCAGUUUCGACAGUUAAGUUCAUUUUCGACAGUUAAGUUCAGAGAUGAGCGGCUGAUGUAUUUUACAUCUAGCACUUUGUGGUUAUGUAUUUUACGUCAUGUAUUGGAGAUGCUAUUAGAAUUCCACUCAGGUUAACGUUGUUUGUUGUCUCUCUUGUCCUGCUUCAGCCUCGGCGUCGUACAACUCACCGGAGCUGCUCCAACGACGAAACCCUCCAUCACAUUGGAGCAGUACCUCGGGCUCCAUCUCCAGACGCCUAAGAUCUUCUUCCCCUCCUCCGACAUCCAAGUCAGCCGGAGCAUCCUCACCGGCCAACCCAAUCACGCUGAGAUCGACAUGGCUUCGCCAAAGAGGUUGUACACUUGUUGCAUCUCUUUUUUACUCUACAUGUUAUAUAUAUUGUCCACUGAGCACACGGAUUUGUUCCUUUAGUGUCUCCUUGAAAGAAAAAAAUGUAGGAAUUUUAAUUUUCACUUGUCCUCCUUUUCAAAUUCCUAUUCAUGAAGCACAAGACUAAGAGAUAGUAGCAUAAUAGCAUUAUAACCGUACAUUUUCUUGUGGUUUGACUUAAUCUCACCAUGCUUCUUUGCAUCUUGUGAUCUUCCAAUUGUUGUGAAUCAAACACCCAGAUUGGCAGAAAUCCUGUGUUUUUAAAUUCUCUGUUUUGCACUUGCAUUCCUAUCCUAUUCAUGUCUAUUUCCUAUCCCUACACUGUUGGAAUCCUCCAAUUCAAACGAGCCCUUACAAAAUUACUUCUCUUAUAGAUAGUUGUCAAAGAAAACCUUGCGUUGUUUGUCCCUCUCCUGCUGCGCCGUCGUCCACCCCAGCUCAGCUGCUCCAAUGACAGAAGGGUCCAGCACAGCAGGGAUCCGACCUCCAGACUGUCUUUCGCCGCCUCAGAUCUUCUUCCCCACCGCUGGCAGCCAUGAAAACUGCAUUACCAUCAUCAACCGAGCAGAUGACCUCGAGGACUACACGGGUCCGCAAGAGAGGUCGCACUCUUUCGUGUCUGCUUACGUUAUGCAUCGCUUAAUAUUACAUGCUACUUUAUCGUCCUGUUCACCAAUUAGACUCUGAGUCAGCUCCAAACUAAUGGUUAAACUUGAGUUUUUAAAUGGUUGUGGGGUACAUAUCAGGGCCGCUAUCAAUAGUAUCUAUCUACUAUCUGGUUAAUCUCCGGGUCUAAUAUGAGUUUCAUGUUGGGUGGGAAACAAAUAGUAAAGAAGCCAUUAUCUGAAUUUUUUAACUGAAGCCAUCAUCUGCCUGCUAUUAUUGGUUUUGGGUCUAUCCACAGGUCUACCAUCACUCUGGAUUUCUGCAUGCACUCCUUACAUAAUCUCACUAUGUUUUAUUCCUAUGCAUGAUAGUUAUUGUAAACAAUGGAACUGAACAUAUAGAGCAAAAGAGACGAGCCUUGCGUGGCAAUAAAAUUUCAAGCAGACGUCGCUCCAUGGUAGGCGCAAAGGCAGCCCCCCUCCAUGCAUUUCGGAUUGUAACCGAGAGGAAGAUAUCUAUUCUGAGGGGGAUUCAGAAGGAGAAGACAACUCCUAUUUACCCCCUGAGGUCUUCACUCUAACUUGUCAUGCUGAUGUUGGUUAUAUCAUGCAUAUGGUGUCUUGCAUUGCUUACUUUAUACAUCAAAUAUGUCAUCUGCUUAGUUUAGACAUCCUUUGUGCGGAUGCCAUCUGUUUAGUUUAUUCAUUGUUUAUGUGAAUUAUGCAACGCCAUCUUGUUUAGCCAGGCAUCAUAUAUGUGAAUUUUGCAAUGUCAUCCUUCUUAGCCAGUCAUCUUAUAUAUAAAUUAUAUCAGGCCAUCCUUUUUUCGUUACAUAUUACAUUUGUCAACAAUGUUAGUACAUUCAACUGCUCUUUGUGUGCAUCAGUCAUUUGACACGGUGAUGGCAAAUUCUGGAGUGAAAACAAGGUCUUCAGAGCAGACUAUGCUAUCUGACGAAGCACAUAUCUCGCUGGUUACGGAUAGCUCCUCGGAGGAGGAUUCAGAGACAGAUGACCAGUCCUAUCCCCCCCCCUGAGGUGUAUGCUCUAACUUGGUAGGGUUAUGUUGCUCAUAUCGUGCGUAUGGUGUCUCGCAUUGCUAUGUCAUUUGAUUAGUUUAGACAUGCUUUGUGUGAAUGCCACCUGUUCAGUGUCUUAUUACCAUAUAUGUGAAUUAUGCAUUGCCAUCUUGUUGCAAGACAUUAUAUAUGUGAAUUAUACAAUGCUAUCUUGUUGCAAAGGCAUUAUAUAUGUAAAUUAUGCAAUGCCAUGUUGUUUAGCCAAUCAUCAUGUAUGUGAAUUAUAUCGUGCUAUCAUUUUUUUGUAUUACAUGUUCCAUUUGUCGACAAUGUUUGUAUAUUCAACCACUCUUCCUGUGCAUCAGCCAUUUGAAGCGGUGAUGGAAGUAUCUGGAGUGAAAACAAGGUAUUCAGAGCAGACAAUGCUACCUGCUGAACCAGACAUCUUGCUGGUUACAGAGAGCUCCUCAGAGGAGGAUUCAGAGACUGAUGACCAGUCCUAUUUCCCCCCUGAGGUCUAUUACCCAUGUCAUGCAUGUUGUCUUGCAUUGCUUAGUUUUUACAUCAUAUAUGGAUUGCCAUCUGCUUACUUGCUUACUAUAUGAAUCAUAUAUUUGAAUUAUAUCAUGCCAUCAUGUUUACAUAGUACAUACACAUCAUCUAUCUGAAUUAUGGCAUGGCAACCCAUUUAAUAAAGACAUCAUAUAGUUAUAUCAUCUCAUCCUGUUUAGUGUUUACAGUCAUCAUAUUUUGAAUUAUGGCAUUCUAUCCAUGAAUGUAUGUGAAUUAUAGCAUGCCAACCUAUUUAAUAAACACAUUAUAUAGUUAUGUCAUGUCAUCCUAUUUACAUAGUCUUAUAUUUUGAACUAUGUAUUUCCAUCUUUUUUAGUUAGCCAUCAUAAUGUGAAAUUGUGUCAUGCUAUCCUAUUUAGUUAGCCAUCAUAUAUGUGAAAUUGUGUCAUGCUAUCCUGUUUGGUUAGACAUCAUAAAUAUGAAUUAUUUCAUGCCCUCUUUUAUUCCCCACUAUCCAUUGCGCCUGUCUAUCAUACAAUGUCUAUACUUUUAAUUACUUUUCUUGUUUAUCAGCCAUUUGAAUUGGAGAGCGUGAUGGCAAUAUCUAAGGGAGUAACAACACGGUCUUCAGAAAAGAUAGUGCUACCAGUUGAUGCAGAUAGAACCACGGUUGUACUUUCCCAAGGACCAGAUCCACCACACAUAACCCAGACUCUUGCAGAUUGUACCCCUACCAGUUGGACAGAGAACCAGCUACACCCCUUCUAACCCCAACCCCGGCAGAUAGUAACCCAGUUCCAGUUGACACAACACCGUCUCCACCACAGAGCACCCAAACACGAGUAGUUAGUAAGGGAACUGCAGUGCCCAAAGCACAAGGACCAACACUCUGAAUCCCAACUCAACGCUUAAAGGAGAAGAAGAUUUGUUCUCAGGUCAGGUUUUGUAGCUAUGGUUCAUACUCCUUUGCUCUUGCAUUACUGUAUUUACUCAUACCAACUAUUUUCAAAUUUGAAGGAUGGAAUUGAAACUCCAAUGGCGCAACAGGUAUGUUUUAAACCUGUUUCUUUAACUGUUGCUGUUGUAACCUGCUCUAUGUUGAUUUCUCAAUUGAAUAAACAGUUAUGUUCUCAUGUCAUGCACAUUACAAGUGUUGUUAUUGCUCUAUAGUUACCCACACUUAUAUUCUGUCUAUUCUGCUUUGUCUUGAACAAAUAUUAUUUGAACUGUGUCUCUAUCUUGAUUUGGCAACAAAAACUAGAAUGAUAUAGACCAUAAAGUGACCAUGGUACAUAGAUAUAUGUUUGUUUCAUGCUGUUAUCCUAUCCACUUUACUACUGAACUAAUUUACCAAAAUGAGUUUCAUAUACAACAUGGUAAACAUGUGAUGUGUCUGCUUGUUUCUCUUUUAGAAUGCGGACAAAAUAUUGGAGAACAGUACGGCGUUAUCCAAUGGUAAAGGAAGUAAUGCAGAUAAGGUUCAAGAUAGUGAGACAUCCCUAUUGGUCUCCAAGAAAGCUGAUAAAAACUAUCUUGACGAUAGUGAGGGAACCCAAAAGUCCUGUCUUGAUGUAGUGUUCGAGUUACUGGCCACUACUGCUGGCACAAGCUCUUCGAACUCGCUGCCUGAAUCAGUUCGUCUUCUUGAGUCUCAACUUCAAGUUGAAAGACAUCGAUCAUAUGUGCUGCGACAGGAAGCUGAAGGACUGAGGAAGUCCCUGCAGAAUUCAGAUGCAUAUUUUCUGGUGCAACAGCAAGCGCUGGAGGAUUUAAGCGCCAAACAAGAGAAAGUUAAUAAGCUUGCUAAGCAUCUUGCCAGCAUUAUGGGUACCCAGGAUAUUGUUUCUUGAGAUCUUUUGAAGUGGUUUCAGUUCCGGAUUUGUUUUGCUGCGGCCUUUUUUGCGCUGGUCGCCAACUUUGACAACCAAUGUAUAUGAUAUGCUGCUUUGUUCCCUAUAUUUGCACUGGUGGCGAACUUUGAUGCCUAGUGGAUGUAAUAUGUGUAAUAGCCGUGACAGCCUAGCGUUAGUUGCUUGCUUAUUCAUUUCCUUGUUGUCUUGUUUAUUUGUUUUCUUGUAGUCAUUGCAAUUCUUUUUCCGCGGUUAGCUAGUGGCUGCAAUAACCUAUUUUUUAAAACUAGGCCACAAUAACCAUGGGCUAAUAUUUACUGUAGUGACACUGGGCCUCCUACUGGCCGUAGAAACAGUGGGCCUUCUACGGGCCGUAGAAACAAUGGGCCUUCUACGGGCCGUAGAAACAAUGGGCCUUCUGCGGGAUGUAUCAUCAAUGGGCCUUAUACGGGCCGUAUGAUCGAUUGGCCAAACAUGGGCCAAACAAACCACAUUAUGGCCGUAAAACAUGCUAGAGUUGGAAUCGUUCAUUCAUGCGCCGACCUUAACGGGCCAUCGUUAAUAGGCCGUAUUUGAUGACGCUAUAAAAAUGGCCCAACGUAUUAACGGACCACAAACGGGCCGACUGUAACCACAUGCUGAAUUUGGCCCACAAGCAGAAAAUGAAAGUAACGGGCCAUAAGUAAAUGAAUGCUGGAAAUGAGCCCAAGAAUAAAUGGGCUCUGAGAAGGCCGAAAGAGAAGAUGGGAUGGAAACGGCCCAAUGGAAUAACGAGCCAUUAAUGGGUAUAAAGUGAUACACUAUUCAUUACAGCCAGUUUCACCACGGGCCGUUAAUGGGUGUAAAGUGAUACACUGUUCAUUACGGGCAAGUUUCACCACGGGUCGUUAAUAGGCCAAGAGUUACAUAGGGCCUCAUAUGGGCUGAAAGACGUCAUGGGCCAUACAUGGGCCAGAAGUGAAAACGGGCUGGAAUCAUAUUGGGUGGCCCAAAGGACGCUACUGGGCCUAAUUCGGAUAGGGCGUAACGGGCCUUGGGUUAGCGGGUUGUAAAAGGGCUAUAUGCGAACAUGCCGUUAACAGGCUUUACAUGGGCCAGCCCGCCACCUUUUGACCUAGUCAAACGGGCCGGCCUUUUCACAGGAAUGGGCCUCUGUUGGGCCGUGCCACGUGUCGACGUAUCAUAGGCGCCUUCUGUCCAAUGAGUGGAUGACAUCUGUCCCAACGAUGAGCCGACACGUGUUUCCUCCAGCUAAUGAUGAUUUUACAUGUGGGAAAUCCCCAUUGGUCGGGGCUGUUAACAGGUUAUCGGAUCCAAAACCCGACCCGAUAGCUUAACGGCGUUCCGUUACGGUGGAUGACACAUGUUGGUCACCCUUGACAAAAGCACUUCUGUGACGCGGGAUUUAUCUUCAUGGAAGUGGACACUUCCGUGAUGAUAACAUGGAAGUGGACACUUCCGUGAUGAUAAUUUUUGUAAUGUCAUGGAACACUUCUACGACAGCAUAGGUAUGACUAUCUUGAUUCUGUCAUAAAAUCGUCAUGGAUGUACAUGCAUGACAGAAAAUGCGACCUACUGUGACAAACACAUAAGAGCUCCUUCUACUCCUUCUUUAUAAGCAGCAUCAUCGCUUGCCUGGUUCCCCCCUUCUCUGACUUCUUCUAUGCAGUCCUCCAACAUUACAGGUUGCAGGCCCUCCAUCUCCAUCCCAACUCCGUUCUCCUCUUGUCGAUCUUUGCCUUCCACUGUGAGGCGUAUGUUGGGGUGAUGCUAUCGGUGGCACUGCUAUGCCACUUCUUCUUCCUCCGAAUCAACGAUGACCACACCUUGGGGUGCGCCAACUUCGUCGCGGUCGGCAAGGCCAACGAGAUCCGGAAGGCCAGAAAGAAGGCCGACGGCUUCAAGAGAGAGUGGGUCAUGAUGGAUGCCAAGUGUGUCCACCCACGGCUGAAGCUGCCGACGGAGAUGCCCCAAUCUGAUGAGGGGUGGUCCCGCGUGAAGCUUACUGACGACCGGGCAAAGUCGGUGCUGGAGAAGAUGACCGCCGACCUGAGUCCGGGCAACGUGAAAGCGGUGAAGCUGAUGGGGGCCAUGUUCCUGAGGGAGUUCCUGAUGCUUCAGGUGGCUCCUCUCCAGGCGCGCUCGCGCCCCUUGUGGAUGCUCGGGGACGGGGAGGACAAGCUUCGCUUGAGUCCAGAGGCCUUGUCUGAAGGGGAGCUGGCCGUGGCUCUCCGCCUCUUGGUCGGGGACGACCAAGAGUAUCCGCCAAGUGCCCACACUCCCUUGUUCCUUCGGAAGGACGGGGCGCUAGUCGUGGCCGCCAUGCCCACAUUUGACGAGCGCGACCUGGUGCCGCCGGCGCCCCCUGGAGUCCCAGUGGCGACGGCGACGGUGGACGUAUCUUCUGGCGAUUCCCGCAGGGAUGGGGAAGAGGAGGAGGACAAGGAGCGUGACUCGGUUGCGACCCCCGAGGGGAUGGGGGAGACCUCCCCCUUGCGCAAGGUGGACAUCCUCUACAUCCUGCCUAAUGACGAUGAUGAGGUUGGCAUCCUCCCGGAGAGGGAGGAGCCGCCCAUGGUUCCGACGAAGGGCAGGUCGGUGCUGCUCUCCCGGGACAACGCUCCUGCCCCGACGUCGCCUAGAGCUGCUUCCAGUCCAUCUUCUGCCCCUGCUUCUGCUCCUGGAGCUCGCGCUCCCGCACCUCGGGCUGCGAGGCUCUCCGGCUUCAAGCUUAUGAAGCGGAGGGACUCCGCCGUGGUGGACCAAUAAGUGUUCUUGUCCUGCCUUGUUCUUGCUUCUGCUGCUCGUCCUUGACUCUUCUUCGUUGUGCAACUAGGCCGACGCCCACGGCGAAGAAGAGAAAGGGCGACGAGGUGGUACUGCUCGAGCCCAUAUCGCCUCCUGCGGCCGCACCCCUCUCCAUGGGUAAGGGCAGUGAAGGCGCUCGUGCUUCACCAGCCCGAUCAUCCUCGCGAGGCUAGGUGGAGCAUCCUCGGGAGGAGUUAGCCCCCGUGGCCCCACUGGUUCUGGAGGUCCCAAAGUCCGGGCGCUGGGGUCCCUGAGGCUCAGGACCCUCUGGCCUCCCAGGUCAUGGUGACAACGUCGCCUCCACCUCCUCCUGCCGCAUUGCUAUCUCCGGGUUCUUCCGCCUCUCCUGACGUCCUGGAGCGCGCUCUUUCUAUGAUGGCCCUGCUGCGAAAAGAUCUUCAAGGCACCGACUGUCGCCUGGUGGCCGGGCCCCUGGAGCUGGUCUCUGGCUGGCUUCACUCCGAUGUGUCCAUCCGGGCGAUGCUGAGCCAGGCUGCUGUCGACUCCGAGAAGGACAGGGAGGCCGUCACCCAAGUUGUGGCCGCCCGCUAGGUGGCGCUGAAGGAUGCCGGGACCGCUGUCGGUCGCUGGAGGCCGAGCUGGAGACCAUGUGGAGGGAGCGCGCGAAAGAAGCCCGAGGCCACAAGGCGGAGGAGGAGAAUAUGAAGGCCCGAGAGGACGCCGUCAAGGAUCGCGACGCCGAACUGGAGCAGUUGGUGAAGGCACAGGCCACAAAGCAUAGCUGGCUGGAGGAGCUGGAGCAGAAGCUAAAGGCGUAGAAGGCAGAGCUUAAUGCCAAGGCAAAGAUCCUGGCUGAGGACCGCGCGACCUUCAAGCUCCUUGAGGAGAGGUCUCGGAUGGCGCUGUAGUCACUCUACGAGAAGGGCUUGGAGGAGCCGCUGGCCGCUAAUGACGAGGGCCCCACCCAGCUACUUCCUUAUCUGGUUGGUGCGCUGGAGGAUGUUGUGAGCGGCAUCGGCCCCAUGGCGGAGGAAGAAGCCCGCAUUCUUUCCUCAGCCACGCUGAUGCGCGUCUUUAGCCACCUCCAUCUCUGUGAUCCUACCGCCCGCCUUGACGAGCUGCUGGAGCCUGUGGAAGACGAGCAUUGCGAGGCCGCUGCUGUAGCUGUGAAGGGUCAGGUGGAGGCCCUGCUGAAGAGGUUUCGUGCCUUUGCUCCCGCACCACCGACCGGCGGUGCUACUGAUCCUGCAACUCUGGCUGGUGGUACAGGUGAAGGCGAUGCCGUUGAAGGAGAGGCAUCCCUUGCAGGCAACGACGGUGUCCAGGGAUGACGGGGUAACUUACUGGCGGCUAGUUUCCUGUUUUAGUUUCUAGAAUAUGCACCAUGCCUCGUGGAGGCGUUAAACUCGCAUUUGGUUUCAGGAGAACAAUAUGUCUUGUAAUAUUUGCUUUGAAAUUCUGCAAUUUCCUUUCCAUUUGCUUUAUGUUCUACGUCGGCAGGGCCCGAUCCCACGCAUACCUCAGCUGCCGUUGGGCCGUCCGGAUCACCAGGACGGACGAAGGAGUGAGGGGCUACGUGAUCAGUUAGGCUCCUGAGUCGCGAUGCUCAGGAGUCCCCCUUGACGCACAAACAACCUAUAGAAAGGAGAUCUGGGAGUAGGCCUAGUGAUCUAUGUCGGCAGGGCCCGACCCCGCGCAUACCUCAGCCGCCAUUGGGUCGUCCGGAUCACCAGGACGGACCAAAGAGUGAGGGGCUACAUGGUCAAUUAGGCUCCUGAGUCGCGAUGCUUAGGAGUCCCCCUUGACGUUCAAAAGACCUUCGUACCUUGGCUCCGCUUGGGAGGGCACGUGACGACCAGGUCCGAGGGACCUGGCAGGGUGGCGUACGCUUGGGUGUGACCCGAGCGCAGCCCCCGUGCCCAGCCCCCUCGUGUGACUGUCCCGAGGGGAGGUGCUGCGAUGGGGCCAACCACUAAGCUCGGAGGCUCCCUGAGGUUGAUACGGCCAUGAGGCCGCCCUCAGUUGUUUAUCACCAGCGCGGAGUAUAGCGCUUCCGCACUUGCACGGGCAUAGCUGCUCCUCGGCAGUGUCGACUGCCAGCGCAGAGCAUGGUGCUUUCACUAGCAUGUGGGAGGGAACUUCCUACUGCGGAGAGCCCCCGGGGCGUGUACAGCCCCGCCCUGACACGUGGAUUGCAUGGUAGGGCCAGACGAGGUGUGUCUGGGCACUCGUGAGCCAGCUGGGGACUUACGAGGCCCUACCUUAAGGCGGGUUGCGCCUGGUCUUGGUUCUUCAUGGUUGUGGCAUUCCCGCAAGAUGGUUAGACAACCUGUGCCGAAUGAAUUUCCUGAGGUUAUUGCAUGAGAAGGCCAAGCACGAAUGACCCCAGGAGGUGACAUGAACAGGGCCGGCCCGCCAGACAGAGCCCAGCCGUUGGAUUUAUCGACGCUGCAGGGACGGGCCCGAGCACAGACGCCGUGCCUAGCCUUCUUAUGCGAAGGAUCCUGAAGAAAGACAGUCGGCGCGCGGCUCCCAUAGUAGGUGACAAUUGAGCAGGCAGUGAUGACCACAGAUAGAUUAUGCAUGAAAAGCAAACUAGCUUAGGUAAAUGCAAGAACGAUUCAUGCCACUGGGUCGAACCCGAGCGGCCUGAGGAUGAUGCAGCCUAAGGGGUGCUCCUAGCAGGGUGAACUAAAGAUGCAAGCGGAUACAUGCCACAGGGACAGACCCACGCGGCCUGGGAAUGAUGCAGCCCAAGGGGCGCUCCCAGCUAAAUAAACUUGGAGAAUGUCACCUGGUUAGGUUGUUGAAGGAGUGUUGGGGUAGCUAAAGACACAUGGGGAAGAAGUCGCUGCUCACGAGGCGUCGAGACCCAGAGCCUCGGGAGGCUCUGGAGGCUCAGGUGGCCUCCUGAGGACCAUCUCCAUCUCCGCUAGGACUGCGUGAUGCCUGGCCUCCCGACCUGCCAAGAUGAUAUGCAGGUUGCGCUGGAAGGUGGCUGCCACGCUCGGGAGCUCGAAGGGCAUGCGAACAUAGCUAUGAGGUGGACCCUCACACCGUCCAGCACGCGAAGGCCAGAAGCACUCCUGAGUUGCGACCCUGUUGAGCCCCGAGAUGUCUAUGCAGACGCGCAGCUCACCACUCUCGCCUGGAUAGGGAGCAACACCAAGUGGGCGGCCGUCGCCGCGUAUUGCUCUUGCUUCCUGAAGCUCCUGAGUGGCCUUGGUGAGGAACUCCUGAUCACCGGGCGCUCCUCGCCCGGUGUCCUCCUGAAGGAAACAUGCUGCGAAGCACGCCUCCACGUGGUGCCCGAUCGCCUCCCUCGUGAUGUUGGCCAGGUCUGAGGCCCUCUAGAAGAGAGCCCCUGAGCCCUGCCCGAGGAGGGCGCUGGGCGCGCCUCCCUAUGCGAGGGAGGGAGGCACACCAGGCACGGGCACCGAUCCUGAUGUGGCGCCGCUGGAGGCGCCGCUUCCCUGAGGCCCAGUGUGGAGUAGCUGCUUCUUCUUCUUGGGGUUGGCCUCAGGAGGGUACUGCACAUAUGCGCUGCCAGGGUCUUCGACUGCUACAGCUUGGAAGGCGCGCUCGAGGGAGCACACCGUGUCUCUUUCUUCGCAGGGGACUGUGAUGGUUCCGCCGCUUCCCGGCAUCUUGAGGACAUUGUAGCCAUGGUGGGUGACUGCCAUGAAUUUGGCUAGCGCUGGGUACCCGAGGAUGGCAUUGUACGGCAGGCGGAUGUGGGCAACAUCAAAGUCGACGAGCUCGGUGUAGUAGUUGUCGCGCUGACCAAAGGUGACAGGGAGACGAACUUGCCCUAUCGGGGUGGUGGAGCCGUCAGUCACUCCUGAGAAAGGCUUGGUGGGCUGGAGCUAAUCAUAUGGCACUUGAAGGCUGUCGAACGUCUCGACGGACAGGACACUGAGCCCUGCGCCGCCGUCGAUGAGGGUCUUGGUGAGUUGGACAUUGGUGAUGACGGGUGAACAGAGCAUCGGGAGGACGCCGGCGGUUGCUGCAUUUGAGAUGGUCCGCCGAGCUAAAGGUGAUGGCGUACUUGGACCAUCUGAGCGGGCACGUAGCCUCGAGCUUGGGGAGGGCUGCAGUCACCUCACAAGAGAACUGCUUGAAGAUACGCUGGGAAGCUAGGGCCUGAGCGCCACCCAAGAUGCUGGCAAUGGCGCGUGGCUCCUAGAAGCCCCCGGCCCCUUCGUCCUGUUGGUGGUCAUCGUUCCUCCUUGGUGGUGGCGGUAGCGAAGGGAGACUAGGGUUGCCCUAAGGACGAUCCUUGUGAGGCUGGUCCUGCCAGCAGUCCUCGCGAGGCUAGUCGUGCCACUCCUGGCGAGGGCUGUGGUCGUCCCAACGUCCUCCACCUCGUCCACCUACUUGGCCAUAGCCCCGGUCGUUGCACUCGGGGUGUCGACUGAGGUGUCCAUCUCGAACGGCCCUGAGCUCUUGAGAAUCGUUGGUGUUGUGGCUGUGCAUGUUGUGGAAGGCGCAGAACGUACGACUACCCUUGGACGACUCGGGGAGGUCUCGGCCGCGCUUGGUAUCUGGCUCUGCCGCGAGUACGGCCACCUGUCGGUGUCAAAACCGGCGGAUCUCGGGUAGGGGGUCCUGAACUGUGUGUCUAAGGCGGAUGGUAACAGGAGGCAGGGGACACGAUGUUUACCCAGGUUCGGGCCCUCUUGAUGGAGGUAAUACCCUACGUCCUACUUGAUUGAUAUUGAUGAUAUGAGUAUUACAAGAGUUGAUCUACCACGAGAUCGUAGAGGCUAAACCCUAGAAGCUAGCCUAUGGUAUGAUUGUUCUUGUCCUACGGACUAAACCCUCCGGUUUAUAUAGACACCGAAGGGGGCUAGGGUUACACAGAGUCAUUUACAAGGGAGGAGAUCUACAUAUCCGUAUUGCCAAACUUGCCUUCCAUGCCAAGAAGAGUCCCAUCCGGACACGGGACAAAGUCUUCAAUCUUGUAUCUUCAUAGUCCAACAGUCCGGCCAAAGGAUAUAGUCCGGCUGUCCGGAGACCCCCUAAUCCAGGACUCCCUCAGUAGCCCCUGAACCAGGCUUCAAUGACGAUGAGUCCGGUGCGCAGAUUUGUCUUCGGCAUUGCAAGGCGGGUUCCUCCUCCGAAUACUCCAUAGAAGAAUUUGAACACAAGGAUAGUGUCUGGCUCUGCAAAAUAAGUUCCACAUAACACCGUAGAGAGAAUAAUAUUUCCACGAAUCUAAUCUGCUGACAUGUUUGGCAACAUGACAUCACGCCAUGGCCCGGUCAUUAUUCGAACCGUUUUUCUUAACAAGCACUGCACAUAUUGCGAGGCGGUUUUAUUGAAACGUCUUGUCAAAGUAGAGAUCGUGUCCCCCUUAUUACGGGAUUCUUAUCAAUACGGACGUGGGUAACCCAAUCGUGCCCGUUGCUAUGACUCCUUGAUUUUAGGCAAGUCCCAAACGGCCACGGGGAGGAUGCUUGAUAUUCCUUCUCGUACUCCAUUGAAUCCUUCCCCCGCCUCGAGUUCCAACACCCAAGGUUCAGGUCAGGCGCUUCGGACCUUCAACCAUGUCCGGAUCCAACCUUCAAGGUCGGUGGAUGCCUUCCUUUGUUAUAGAGGAAGACAUCAAGAAGCUAAGAGAGGCCAGGUAUUUGACCGGUGAAAUCUGGCACAGGCUGCCUGCUCGAGGGCAGGUCACUCCCACUCCCAAACCCGGCGAGAGCGUGGUAUUCAUCUCUCACUUCCUCCGAGGGCUAGGCCUCGCUCUGGAUCCCUUUGUUAGGGGGCUCAUGCUCUAUUACGGGCUAGAUUUCCAUGAUCUGGCCCCGGAUUCCCUCCUUCACAUCUCAUCGUUCAUCGUCGUGUGUGAGGCCUUCCUCCGCAUUACCCCACACUUCGGCCUAUGGCUCAAGACCUUCAAUGUGAAGCCGAAGAUGAUCGAGGGGCGACAUGUAGAGUGCGGAGGUGCUAUAAUAAGCAAGAACGCUGAUGUUCCAUGGCCAAAUGGUUCCUUUCCAGAGGUGUCUAGUUUAUGGCAGCGGGAGUGGUUUUAUAUCAUAGCUCCCCGGAGUACCAAGUGGGUAGCCGCCCCUGCCUUUCGCUUGGGCCCCCCACCACAACUGACGUCAUGGAUCAACAAAGGGCUAGACUGGGGGCCAGCAAACGACGUGCUGAUAUAGCAGAGUCGCAUCCGAGAUCUCCUCGAGAGAGAUGUCAGCCUGGUCACGGUAAUGCAAGUCAUGCUAGUUCGUCGGGUCCUGCCUUGCAAAUGUCGACCCCUCCGUAUGUGGGAGUUCAACCCGGAAGGACCGUGAAUUAUUCAACACUUCCUUAGCAUGACGCUCAAAGAGAUGUACAAAUUGUUCUUCGGACCACAAGCAAGGUGUCCGGACUCCACCGAGGAUGCGGGUCUGAGCUGCAAUCGCCUAGAUACCCAAGUAAGUAAACCCAUGGCCGAACAUGCUAUCUUUUUAUUUAUCAUAAUCAUCAUUCUGAAAAGUCGCUCUUUGAUCAGGAUUGGGUAACAAAGGUGAAGAUGAUCAGGUGUUCGGCCCCCCUUCCCGAAGGCUCAGCAAAUCUAGUACUAGCCAGAAUGCUCGAGCCGGCGCCUUAUCAGGCGCCCUCAGGGGAAGAUAAAGGGGGAAUAAGAGGCUAAAAGUAGACCUCACUCAUUAUUCAUACAAACCGGGGGAAUUAGCGCCUCCGUGAAGGAGGGUAACCAGGGACAAGAAUCUGAAAUUCCCUCUCCCCAAGGAAAGAAGAGGACCAGUUCUGAAGACCCGAAAACAAUGGUUUCCAAACAGGGGAAGAAAUCUUCGCCAGAGGGUCCUGCCUCGGAGGGCACUCUCACCGCACAAUGCCCGCAAGGGGAUCAGCCCUCUACCGAGCUGUAAGUAAACAAAAUGGUACUUAAUAGUAAAAAUAUCCUACCUUACUUCUAAAGACAAUAACCGAAGCAUAUAUCUUGUAGUUUAGAUCGUAGCCCUUCUCGACAGAGUUCGUCUUCGGGGGAUCUUGUUCCGAAGAUGAUGGAGAGUGAAACACCUCCCCUUGCCACCCCGCCUCAUGAGGCGGGCGACCCUGAAGUGUCAUUGUGGAGGGCUUCUCCUGAUCUACCAAGGCCAGAGGGUAAUCCUUUGGCCAUCCGAAGUCCUCAGUAUUCGGCUCCUAAAGAGAGCAACAGAAAGAGUCCGGAACCGUCCAGUGUGCGACUGGACGCACUAAGGGAUCUUCUGGAGCAAGCGUCCAUCUCAGAAGCGCAUCGUACGCUAAUGGGUACGGUGAUUGAGAGGAUUUCAUCUGCCGAAAGCGGGUUGCAUGAAGCUUUUAUGAGUCUGCUGAAAGGCUUUGAGGUACGUGAAAUAGUGUAUGUUUUUGACGGUACCGCAGACGUUAGGUGUGCCCUAUGCAGAUAGUAGCCCAUGAGACUUUGGUUGCCGUCGAGAACGGUGGCAAAUAGAGGAUCAUAGUCCCAGGUAAUAAUCAGGCCGCCUUCAUAUGCAGGUGGCGGAAGGUCCGGUGGCUAGCCGGACUGGUGAAUUUGCCGAACUGAAGUGACAACUUGAUGCGGUAGAUGCCGACAUCGUGCUUGUCAACAAGCGGCUUGACGAGGCACAGGGUAUGUGAUUUCUCCGGUGAUCAGCACAGAGUAAGAGGAGCAUGAUGCUAGUAUCUUUAAUAUGUUGUGACUGCAGAUGGAGCUGCCACCGUGGAGACCCUUCAGGCGGAACUUGCCCGAGCCAAGGAGCAAGCCAGGAAUAGUGAUGCGGCCGCUCUAAAGGCGGUCGAAGAGCUGAGGGCCAAACAGGCCGCGCAUUGCCAAAGUAAAGAAAAAAUGGCCAAGAUGGCCGUUGAGUUGAAAGAUGCCGCCGACCGUUACCAGCUGCUUGAAGAAGAAAAUCGAGCGAAGGCGACGGACCUGGAGAAGGCCAUGGUAGCGGCCAAGGAAGCCCGCUCUAAAAUCGGGGCGGCGAAGGAAGAGCUGUGUCAAGCUGGAGAUAUCGCGGCUGGGAAGCCCUUCUUGUUGUAGACAAAGUUCGGAGAUCCAACGUAUGCCCCUCUUGAUCAACUAUGGAGUUCUGCAAAUGCGUACGUGGAUUUGGCGGCAAGUGCUGCUGAUGCGGCCGAGUACUUCAAGGAUCAAAAAGAUCGUGAAGUGGAAAAGUUGUUCUGGUCACAGCUCCAUGUUCUAGUGCGUACGCUGCUAUUGAAUGAGUGAAUGGCUGAGUGGGCCGAGCUCCAUAGGUUGUCCAGACUUGCCAUGAGGUCUGUUGUGGAUCAUUUGUGACCGGAAGGGCCAAGGACGAAUAGUUACUUUAGUUUAGUGCAAUAAUUCCUUGGUGUUGUGCCGCACAUCGACACUAUGAAGAGGUCGGCGUGCAUAGAGGGUGCACGGAUGGCCCUUGCCUGUGUCAAGACAUACUGGGCAGAGAUGGAGGCCACCACUAUUGCGACACAAGGUUCAGCCAUGGGCUGAGUAGCUGCCGAGCACUACUUUGAAGAAGUCCUUGGAGGCGCUCGUUCGAUAGAGGCUCAGUGCUCGACGAAUAUUAUGUUCUAGUGACAUGUAUUCCCAUUGUAAAAACAAUGUUUUAUUGAAUUAUGAAGGCUGUGUUUAUACUUUUGCCUGAAAGUAUUAUGAUGCCUCCUGUGCGGUCGUUUAUGUAUAUAUGUAUAUAACCUGAAAGCUUGCAGUCGUCGGCUUCAGCCCCCACACAUAUAAUGCGGGGGUGUUUGCAAAAAACGCGUAUUCACACUUGAUCCAACGUCUUGGUCCAUGAAGGAGGUGGUAGCGCAGUGAAUGAGGCAAUCAGACUAUAUUGCUUUAACACUUUCACUUAGCCAUAGGAGUUUAACAGUGGGACUACUAUAUAGCCCCUGGUACUUCCGCGCUCGUCCGGAUACGGGGCGCGUACGUACAUGAUCGGGAAACGGCCCUUCGUUAAUGCGAAGAAAUCCCGAAGAUUCCUCUAAGUCAUUGAGUGGUUGACCAGUCUCGUGCUUUAUCAUGAUAGUCAGUUUUCGGCUUUCUCUACUGAGGUGCUCCUCCGGAUGAACCAGGGCACAAUCGCAGUAGUUCUCCCGCUGCCGCCUUAGCCGAUAGAGCGGAACGUAAGGUAGCGAAACAUGGGAGCCGGGCAAACCCAACAUUUGGCCAAAGACAUGAUUCGGAGCGGAUGCAUAUAAGUCCAAACUUGUGACGCCGAACACUCCCUAAGGUAUUCGGUCUUUAUAACAUAUGUCGGGCUGAACAAUACCCUUAAUAAUAAACCCCGAGUGUCCAGGUACGUGCAAUAUUCUGACGUGGCCAGAUGCCAUAACGUCAGCAACCUUCUCGGUUGUAUGAAGUAUCCGGAGGAUUGUGAACAACAAGAGACAGUAAAAAAGGUUUACGCAGGUUUUUAAUCUGAAAAGAAACCUUUGAGCGGGUCCCUGCUGCACGUCUGCGCCUGUGUCUCCGUUGUGCCGUGUCCUGGACGGGUGUAGCACGAUUGUCAUCUGUAAAAGAGAAGAACUUAGGUGAAAGUUGUCAUGCCAGAAAAUUGGUUAUUAUCAAUAAACCAUUAAAAUUCAAGGUAAGUCAAGUUGAGUCGAACUAGCCCUGAUUACACGCGGGAAGCCCCUGGUACCGUCUAUGAGGGUUUAACCAUUAAACCAAUCUCAGGUAUAUUUGGUGAUGCGCCGGACUCGUCUAACCGUGUUCGUGGUUUUGACGACCUGUCAUUUAUUCUGGCUGGUGAGGCCGUCUAGUGCUUAGCUGUUAAAGCCGCCGCACAUUCUUUCGCGCAUAGAGAAUGCUCGAUAUUUCCACUAACUGUGAUAGUGCCACGUGGACCGGGCAUCUUAAGCUUGAGAGAAGCGUAAUGCGGUACUGCAUUAAAACGAGCGAAAGCCGCUCUUCCGAGUAGUGCUUGAUAGCCACUUUGGAAUGGAGCGAUGUAGAAAGUUAACUUUUCACUUCGGAAGUUGUCGGAAGAACCGAAUACAACCUCUAGUAGUAGAGAGCCCGUGCAGCAGGCCUCUGGGCCUGGUAUUACUCCCUUGAAGGUAGUAUUACUACGGCUGAUUUUUGUCGGGUCUAUCCCCAUUUUGCGGACUGUGUCCUGAUAUAUCAGAUUUAGAUCACUGUCGCCGUCCAUAAGGACUUCUGUGAGAUGGUAUCCGUUUAUUAUUGGGUCUAACACCAAGGCAACCAAUCCUUCAUGCCGAAUGCUUGUCGGGUGAUCCCUGUGAUCGAAAGUGAUCGGGCAGGCCAACCAGGGGGUGAACUCGGGGGUGACGGGCUCUACGGCGCCUAUGUCUCGGAGUGCAUGUUUGCUUCUCCUCUUCGUCACAUGGAUCAUAUUUACUGUUUAACCUCUGGUGGGAAUUUUUCUGUCCUCCAUUGCUUUGCUGGCGAGGUUCGUCCUCGUCUUUGCUUGGUGUCUCCCCCUCCUUGUGUUCGGCAUUUAGCUUAUCGGCCUGCUUGAAGACCCAGCAUUCUCUGUGGGUGUGAUUUGCAGGUUUGUCGGGGGUGCCAUGAAUGUGACAUAGUUUGUCUAGAAUUUUGUUUAGGCUAGAGGGUCCAUCUCUGCUGCCUUUGAAAGGCUUUUUUCGCUGACCUGGUCGAGAGCCCCUGAAUCCGGCGUUUACCGUCGUAUUAUCUGGGUGUCUUCUUUAUUUCGAUGCUUGCUUUUACUGCGUCGUGGUUUCCCAUUGCCAUCCCUGAGUUUGGAUGUGCUUGGGUCGCUGGUGCUACUGCGGGCUAACCAGCUAUCUUCUCCCGCGCAAAAGCGGGUCAUGAGGCUUGUCAGGGCUGCCAUUGUUCUCGGUUUUUCUUGGCUGAGGUGUCUGGCGAGCCAUUCGUCUCGGAUGCUGUGUUUGAAAGCUGCUAAGGCUUCGGUGUCCGGACAGUCGACGAUUUGGUUCUUCUUAGUGAGAAACCUGUUCCAAAGCUUUUGGGCUGACUCUCCGGCCUAUUGAAUUAUAUGACUUAAAUCGUCUGCAUCCGGAGGUCAGACAUAGGUCCCUUGAAAACUAGCCCGAAAAGCAUCCUCGAGCUCCUCCCAACUUCCAAUUGAGUUUUUGGGGAGGCUUUUCAGCCAGUGCCGAGCUGGUCCUUUAAGCUUGAGGGCAAGUACUUGAUGGCGUGGAGAUCGUCUCCGCGAGCCAUAUGGAUAUGGAGGAUAAAGACCUCAAUCCGAACCCCAGGGUCUGUGGUCCCAUCGUAUGCCUCUAUGUUCACUGGUUUGAAUCCUUCUGGGAAUUCGUGGUCUAGCACCUCAUCGAUGAAACAUAGGGGGUGUGCGGCACCCCUAUAUUUGGAUGUAUCGUGGUGUUCGGACGGUUGUAGUAUUCGGUUUUGAUUUUGUGCCGCAACGCGCUUCCUAGAUCCAUAGAUGGAUCUGGUCAUACUGGAUUUUUGGCGCAAGUCCUCAUGUAGAUCGUGUGUUGACUUAUGUGCGGCAUUGUUAGCCGCUCUAUCGUGGUCACAAGGUGGUUGAUCCGGCCGGUUGGCCGUUUUAUUUUUCGGCUGUGUGGGCUCUAAGGCCUCAUCGUCGAAUUCAGGUAAUAGCUUGCGCUUUGGAUAGCUCUUUGUGUGGUAACUUCCACCGUACUUUUCUUCGUUGUCGAGCACUUUGUUCCAUCUGCUGUUGAGCAUAUUUUGUGCGGCCUUAAGCCUUUGCUUCCGCUUCUUCAGACUCCUCGCUGUGGCAAUGAGCCUUCUGCGGAGGUUCUCUUGUUCCAAGUGCAUUUCCGGGAUGAUGUUUGCAUCUUCGUCUGGACUGUUUUCCUCCCCAUAGGGGGUGUGAUGAGCUUUAUCCUCGGUGUCGCCGUGUUCAGAUAUCGGAUCCGUGCUAUGUUCGCCGUUGGCAGUUUCGUCGUGCUCUACUACUGGGUUAAUGUGGUCGUUGUUUCCUUUGGAGUCGGCUGGAGUGUUAUUUUCUCUUGCGCUGAUAUCGCUAUUUUUUCUAUGGCGGGACUUAGCGCGGAGCCGCUGACGUCGGCGCUUGGGUUGCUUCUUGGAGGGGUCAUCCUCCACUGUCUCGUCGCCAUGGCCUUCUUUGGGUGUAUCCACCAUGUAUAUGUCAUGUGAUGAAGUGGCGGUCCGGUGCCCUAUGGGCGGUGGUUCCUGUUCGUCUUCAGCAUCAUCGUCGAUACCGUCGAUGUCUUCGGAGUCAAAGUCGAGCAUGUCGGUUAAAUCGUUGACAGUGGCUACUAAGUGGGUGGUGGGUGGGGGGCGAAUUUCUUCGUCGUCCGUAUCCCAUUCUAGCCGGACAUAGUUCGGCCAAGGUUCUCCUGACAAGGAGAGAGACCUUAAUGAGUUUAGCAUGUGUCCAAAAGGUGAGUGCUGAAAGAUAUCCGUGGAGGUGAACUCCAUGAUCGGCGCCCAGUCGAAUUCGAUAGGCACAGACGUAGGCGGCUUGGAGUCUAUGCCCGGAGAUGAAUCCAGUUGUUCGGCAACACGGCUCUCGUAAGGGGUGAAGUCAGUAUCAGGCUCUAUCGCCACUGAGAGUGCGGCCUCCACGGCGGGGUCUAUCCACCCUUCCUCGGAUGGCACAAUUUGCUCCGGAUUGAAGGCCGGAGUAGUUGCAGAUGUGAUCUCCCGAACACUGUCCGAUGGCAGAGUUACAUCAUGCUCGUCGUGAUCGUGCGGCGCACCUAACAUUGGCUCGAAUCCAUCAAAGAUCAAGUCUCCGCGGAUGUCGGCAGUGUAGUUUAAGUUUCCGAACCUGGCCUGAUGGCCAGGGACGUAGCUCUCGAUCUGCUCCAGAUGGCCAAGCGAGUUGGCCCGCAGUGCGAAGCCGCCGAAUACGAAGAUCUGUCCAGGAGGAAAACCUCACCCUGGACCGCAUUGUUACCGAUGAUCGAAGGAGCCAUCAAGCCUUACGGUGACGGCACAGUGGAACUCUCAAUGAAAGCACCAAUGUCGGUGUCAAAACCGGGUAGGGGGUCCCGAACUAUGCAUCUAAGGCGGAUGGUAACAGGAGGCAGGGGACACGAUGUUUACCCAGGUUCGGGCCCUCUUGAUGGAGGUAAUACCCUACGUCCUGCUUGAUUGAUAUUGAUGAUAUGAGUAUUACAAGAGUUUAUCUACCACGAGAUCGUAGAGGCUAAACCCUAGAAGCUAGCCUAUGGUAUUAUUGUUCUUGUCCUACAGACUAAACCCUCUGGUUUAUAUAGACACCGGAGGGGGCUAGGGUUACACACAGAGUCGGUUACAAGGAAGGAGAUCAACAUAUCCGUAUUGCCAAGCUUGCCUUCCACGCCAAGAAGAGUCCCAUCCAGACACGGGACAAAGUCUUCAAUCUUGUAUCUUCAUAGUCCAACAGUCUGGCCGUCCGGAGACCCCCUAAUCCAGGACUCCCUCACCACCCCUUUGUGCUUCACAUCCUUGACCUUGGCCUUCUUCUCCCCUGGAUCCACAACAGGGAGCUCGAGGAGGGAGAGACGCCCCUCCUCAGCUCUUGCACACUUGGUUGCUAGGUUGAACAGCUCCAAAGUUGUGCACAUCUCCUCAUGGAUGGCGAGCUCCUCCUUCAUCUUGAUGUCGCAGACGCCAUCGGAAAACGCUGAGAUGAUGGCCUCGUCCGUCACCUUGGGUAUCUUGAGGCGCACGCUGUUGAAGCGCUGGAUGUACUUAUGCAAGGUCUCUCCCGGCUGUUGCUUGAUGCAACGCAGGUCACCCACCGCCGGUGGGCGGUCGCGAGUGCCCUAGAAAUUGGCGACGAAGCUGUCGCACAUCUGAUCCCAGGACGAGAUCGAGCCCGGGGCAGGUUCAGGAGCCAUGAGCGGGCGCCAUCCUUGAGCGCCAAGGGAAACCAGUUCACCAUGACCUUUUCGUCGUCGUUGGCCGCCUCGAUGCUCAGCUCGUAGAGCUGCAAGAACUCCAUAGGGUCGGGGGUGCCAUAGUAGCGAGGAGGCAGAUCCGUCUUGAACUUGCCUAGCCAGACAACGUUAUGCAACUCAGGAGUGAAGGCGCGGCAGCCUGCCGUGGCCACCGGGGCCCAUCAUGGAGGCGGAGCUUGAUCUUGGUGUCCCUGCGCUGCCACGGCAAGUGGCGCAUGGCCCUGCAGUGGCAAGCGAUCCUGACAUGGCGGUGCUGGGAGCGGUGGAGCAUUUUCUUGCAGAUGGGGAAUCUCUUGGCAGCUUCUUUCUUCGUGCGCGGGCACACGACGCGGUGGAUCACGCCGCAGGACCGCACAUCUUGGAGCGAGGAUGCUGUCUUGACGCGGAGGAGGCGGAGGCGCUCUAUGAGCCGCACGUCUCAGCAUGAGGGCGCCAUCUUGGUGCGGAGGGGGCGGAGGCGCUCCGUGAGCCACAUCGCCCGUAGCCGGGGGCGGGCGAGGCAGCGAGAGGGAUGGUGUAGGAGAGCCCCCCGCGGCGCUGACGAGCUCGGCAAUGUGGUCCAACUAGUCCUUGUAGAGGUCGUCGACCGGGCGGUAAAGCAGGAGCUCGCGUGCCAUGAGCAGCACGGCAUGCGCAUCCGUUUGUGCGCCGCGAGCGUGAGACGAUGAGCUGGCCGGAGUCAGCGACGGGGUGGCGGUGCGGCCAUCUCGCCGCACAGAGGGGUGCAGUGAGGAAGCUUGCUGCUCGUUUUCCGCCAGGACGGUGGCGGCGUUGGCGGCGGGUGAUGGAGAACGGCGGGGAGGUCCGCCAACAGGGGUUUUCUGAGCGAUGCGGGUGGCGAGAGCGGCCCGACGCUCAGUGCGGACCCGGCGAGCAUCGGCCAUGAACUUGGGGAGUGACGAAGUGCGGAUUAACGAAGGGGAAAGCUUAAGCGCACCCCUACCUGGCACGCCAAAUGUCGGAUUUUGGGUUCCGACAAAACCCUUGAGGUUCGAACACUGUGGUGCACACGAAGAUCUCUCCCCCUCUCUAGCUCACACACAUCAUGAUCUCACGGCCUAGCUCGACGAACCCAAAGAACAAGAGACACAAGAGUUUAUACUAGUUCGGGCCACCGAUGUGGUGUAAUACCCUACUCCAGUGUUGUGUGGUGGAUUGCCUCUUGGGCUGAGGAUGAACAGUUACAAGGGAAGAACAGCCUCCUGAGGAGAGGUGUUCUUGUGCUUGGUGAGUUGAUGCGGUCGGGAAUUCUCUCUAGAUGAGCUGCUAUCAGAUGAGAUCGAUCUACUCUCUACGGUGGUGGCUAGUCCUAUAUAUAGAGGCGCUGGUCCUCUUCCCAAAUAUUAGGCGGGAAGGGAUCCCACAACGGCCAAUUUGAAGGGGGCAGCUAGUACAAGCUAUCCUGACAAAAGUAGUCUUCGCCUGCCAAAGGUCCUGGUGGUGACACCGCCUUGGGCUCCAUGGUGACCUUCGUCCUACUGUCCGGCUAGUCUUGGUCUUGUUGCACCGAUAUGGAAACCUUUGCAUGAUGCCUCAGGACUCCUCGCUUGCGCUUGCCUCUUUAGCACCAAAGAGGAAACGAGGACUGAUACGUCUCCGUCGUAUCUAUAAUUUUUGAUUGUUCCAUGCCAAUAUUCUACAACUUUCAUAUACUUUUGGCAACUUUUUAUACUAUUUUUCGGACUAACAUAUUGAUUCAGUGCCCAAUGCCAGUUCCUGUUUGUUGCAAGUUUUUUGUUUCGCAGAAUAUCCAUAUCAAACGGAGUCCAAGAAGGAUAAAAACAGACGGAUAUUUUUUUGGAAUAUAUAUGAUUUUUGGGAACAAAAAUCCACGCGAGACGAUGCCCGAGGGGGCCACGAGGCAAGGGGGCGCGCCCCUGACCCUCGUGGCCACCCUGUAAGGAGGUUGAUGCCCUUCUUUCGCCGCAAGAAAGCUAAUAUCCGGAUAGAUAUCGUGUUAAAAUUUCAGCCCAAUCGGAGUUACGGAUCUCUAGGAAUAUAAGAAACUGUGAAAGGGAAGAAUCUGAGAACGCAGAAACAGAGAGACAGAGAGACAGAUCCAAUCUCGGAGGGGCUCUCGCCCCUCCCAUGCCAUGGAGAACAAGGACCAUAGGGGAAACCCUUCUCCCAUCUAGGGAGAAGGUCAAGGAAGAAGAAGACGAAGGGCCCCCCUCUCCCCUUCUCUUCCGGCGGUGAGGGAAUGCUGCCGUGGCCAUCAUCAUCAUCACCGCGAUCUACACCAACACAUCCGCCAUCUUCACCAACAUCUCCAUCACCUUCCCCCCUCUAUCUACAGCGGUCCACUCUCCUACAACCCACUGUACCCUCUACUUGAACAUGGUGCUUUAUGCUUCAUACUAUUACUCAAUGAUGUGUUGCCAUCCUAUGAUGUCUGAGUAGAUUUUCGUUGUCCUAUCGGUGGUUGAUGAAUUGCUAUGAUUGAUUUAAUUUGCUUGUGGUUAUGUUGUUGUCCUUUGGUGCCCAUAAUAUGAGCGCGCGCGUGGACCACACCAUAGGGUUAGUUGUAUGUUGAUAGGACUAUGUAUUGGAGGGCAAGAGUGACAGAAGCUUCGGCCUAGCAUAGAAAUUGAUGCAUACGGGAUUGAAGGGGGACCAAUAUAUCUUAAUGCUAUGGUUUGGUUUUACCUUAAUGAACGUUAGUAGUUGUGGAAACUUGCUAAUAGUUCCAAUCAUAAGUGCAUAGAAUUCCAAGUCAGGGAUGACAUGCUAGUAGUGGCCUCUCCCACAUAAUACUUGCUAUCGGUCUAGUAAAGUAGUCAAUUGCUUAGGGAUAAUUUCGCAACUCCUACCACCACUUUUCCACACUCUCUAUAUUUACUUUAUUGCUUUUUUACUCACAACAGCCCCUACUUUUUAUUUACUUGCUCUUUAUUAUCUUGCAAACCUAUCCAACAACACCUACAAAGUACUUCUAGUUUCAUACUUGUUCUAGGUAAAGCGAACAUCAAGCGUGCGUAGAGUUGUAUCAGUGGUCGAUAGAACUUGAGGGAAUAUUUGUUCUGCCUUUAGCUCCUCGUUGGGUUCGACACUCUUACUUAUCAAAAACUGUUGCGAUCCCCUAUACUUGUGGGUUAUCAAGACCUUUUUCUGGCGCCGUUGCCGGGGAGCAAUAGCAUGGGGUGAAUAUUCUCGUGUGUGCUUGUUUGCCUUAUCACUAAGUAAUUUUUAUUUGCUGUUGUUAGUUGUUCUUUAUCUCUAAGUUAUGGAUAUGGAAGACGAAAUACCAAAAAAAUUAGGUAUACUUUCUGCUCAUGGAGAUGGGGAACCUCCUAAAACCCUCGAUGCUGGUUAUGUGAAAGAUAUUAUGUACUACUUUAAUAAUCCUGAGAAAACCCCAUUCAAUUAUGUAAUGGGAGUAAUGUUGGAUCAACGUGAAUACUUUAGGGAUUACCGCUUGACACAAAAAGGGAAACUAUUAUGGGAUCAAAUUCAUAUAUUGAAGUGGUAUGCUAGGAAACUAUGCUUGAGAUAUGAUUAUACUUGUUGCUCGAGGAUGAAGGCUCCACACCUUCCCUUUUUAUGCGAAUUUAAUGAUAAUAAAACCUUAGCUUCUUAUGCUAAUGGUAUAUAUGAUUACUAUGAUGUGGAACAAAUAGAAGAAUUUGUUGCUUUUAUGGGUGCUUAUGAAAUUGAAUCUAUGUUUAAAGAGUUUGAAGAUUUUGACGAUUCAGUUUAUAGACCUGAAAAUUUAGCUAUCCUUAAAUAUUGCUAUGAGAAUUAUGAAUACAAUUACGAUAUUAAUGCACUUAUUGAGAAAGUAUCCAGUGUCCAAGAAGAGACUAAUAUUUUGCAGGAGUCUAUGGAAGAAGAAAUUGAUGAAACUGUGAGCUCAUUGGAUGAAAAAGAUGAAGAGGAGAGCGAAGAACAAAAGGAGGAAGAGCGGAUUGAUCACCCGUGCCCACCUUCUAAUGAGAGUAACUCUUCAACUCAUACAUUGUUUAAUUACCCUUCAUGCUUACCGAAGGAUGAAUUCUAUGAUAAUUGCUAUGAUCUCGUUGAUUCUUUUGAAAUAUCCCUUUUUGAUGAUGCUUGCUAUGCUUGUGGCCAAGAUGCCAAUAUGAAUGAUGCUUAUGGAGAUGAACUUGCUAUAGUUCCUUAUGUUAAACAUGAAAUUGUUGCUAUUGCACCCACGCAUGAUAGUCCUAUUAUAUUUUUGAAUUCUCCCAACUACACUAUAUCAGAGAAGUUUGCUUUUAUUAAGGAUUAUAUUGAUGGGUUGCAUUUUACUGUUGCACAUGAUGAUUUAGAUGAAUAUAAUAUGCAUGUGCUUGCUGCUCCUACUUGCAAUUAUUAUGAGAGAGGAACUAUAUCUCCACCUCUCUAUGUUUCCAAUAUGAUAAAAUUGCAAGAAACUGCUUAUGCUAUGCAUUGGUCUUUACUAUGUGUGCAUGAAUUGUUCUUUUAUGACAUGCCGAUGCAUAGGAAGAGAGUUAGACUUCGUUUUUAUAUAAUAUAUGUUACUUUGUGCUCACUACUAAAUUACAAAUCAUUGUUAAUUAAAAUUGGCUUUGAUAUACCUUGGGAUCCGGGUGGAUCCAUUACUUGAGCACUAUAUGCCUAGCUUAAUGGCUUUAAAGAAAGCGCUGCCAGGGAGACAACCCGGAAGUUUUAGAGAGUCAUUUGUUUCUGUUGAGUGCUUUUAUAUAUUUUAAAAACAAUAAAAAUAAAGAGGGGAACCCAAAACUUUUUUAAAAAGGAAAGUGAAAGUGAGAAAGACAAGCAUUGUUGAAGUGGGAGAGCUCCUUGAGCUUUUUUCAUGCUCACAGAAACUUUGUGAAUCUUGAUUACAGAAACUUUUCAACAAAAAUAAUUAUCCCCUUGUACAAUUCCAUUGUAUUAUAAAAAUAAUGUGCCAAGGUUUGCCUUUAGGAUGUUUACAUUUGCUUGAUGGUUUGUACGGUGCAGGACAGAAACUUUGGCUGUAAUGCACGAUUUUACAUUUUUAGCUGGAACACCAAACGGUUCUGAUUCAUUUUGCACUGUCUUCCUAUACAAAUUGUUUAUUUUUCCUAAUUUUUGCAGAAUUUUUUCAAGUAUCAGAAGUAUGGUGAAUGUUCAGAUUAUUACAGACUGUUCUGUUUUAGACAGAUUCUGUUUUUGAUGCAUAGUUUGCUUGUUUUGAUGAAACUAUCAAUUCAUAUCUGUGGAUUAAGCCAUGAAAAAGUUAUAUUACUGUAGAAACAAUGCAAAAACAAAAUAUGAAUUGGUUUGCAAUAGUACUUAGAGUAGUAAUUUGCUUUAUUAUACUAACAGAUAUUACCGAGUUUUCUGUUGAAGUUUUGUGUGGAUGAAGUGUUCGAUGAUCGAGAAGGUCUCGAUGUGAGAAGAAGAAAGAGAGGCAAGAGCUCAAGCUUGAGGAUGCCCGAGUAAACCCAAGUAAAUAUUCAAGGAGACUCAAGCGUCUAGGCUUGGGGAUGCCCCGAAAGGCAUCCCUUCUUUCUUCAACAAGUAUCAGUAUGUUUUUGUAUUCGUUUUGUUCAUGCGAUAUGUGCAAUCUUGGAGCGUCUUUUGUAUUUAGUUUUCAUUUUUCUUUUAUGCACCAUGCUGGUAUGAGAUAGUCCUUGGUUGAUUUAUAGAAUGCUCUAUGCACUUCACUUAUAUCUAUUGAGUAUGGCUUUAUAGAAUGCUUCAUGUGCUUCACUUGUAUCAUUUGAAGCUUGGAUUGCCUGUUUCUCUUUACAUAGAAAACCGCCAUUUGUAGAAUGCUCUUUUGCUUCACUUAUAUUUGUUAGAGCGUGGGAAUAUCUUUUGUAGAAAGAACGAAACUCUCUUGCUUCACUUAUAUCUAUUUAGAGAGAUGACAGGAACUGGUCAUUCACAUGGCUAGUCAUAAAAUCCUACAUAAAACUUGUAGAUCACUGAAUAUGAUAUGUUUGAUUCCUUGCAAUAGUUUUGCGAUAUAAAGAUGGUGAUAGUAGAGUCAUGCUAGUGGGUAGUUGUGGAUUAGUAGAAAUACUAGUGUUGAGGUUUGUGAUUCCCGUAGCAUGCACGAUGGUGAACCGUUAUGUAACGAAGUCGGAGCAUGAGGUAUUUAUUGAUUGUCUUCCUUAUGAGUGGCGGUCGAGGAUGAGCGAUGGUCUUUUCCUACCAAUCUAUCCCCCUAGGGGCAUGCGUAGUAGUACUUUGCUUCGAGGGCUAAUAAACUUUUGCAAUAAGUAUGUGAGUUCUUUAUGACUAAUGUUGAGUCCAUGGAUUAUACGCACUCUCACCAUUCCAUCAUUGCUAGCCUCUCUAGUAUCGCGCAACUUUCGCCGGUACCAUAAACCCACCAUAUACCUUCCUCCAAACAGCCACCAUACCUACCUAUCAUGGCAUUUCCAUAGCCAUUCUGAGAUAUAUUGUCAUGCAACUUCCAUCAUCAUCAUAUACAUGACUUGAGCAUUCAUUGUCAUAUUGCUUUGCAUGAUCGUAAGAUAGCUAGCAUGAUGUUUUCAUGGCUUGUCCGUUUUUUGAUGCCAUUGCUACGCUAGAUCAUUGCACAUCCCAGUACACCACCGGAGGCAUUCAUAUAGAGUCAUAUCUUUGUUCUAGUACCAAGUUGUAAUAUCGAGUUGUAAGUAAAUAAAUGUGUGACGAUCAUCAUUAUUAGAGCAUUGCCCCAGUGAGGAAAGGAUGAUGGAGACUAUGAUUCCCCCACAAGUCGGGAUGAGACUCCGGACGAAAAAAUAAAAAAUAAAUAAAAAAGAGAAAGGCCAAAAAAAGAGAAGGCCCAAAAAUAAUAAAAAUAAAAAUAAUGAGAGAAAAAGAGAGAAGGGGCAAUGUUAUUAUCCUUUUACCACACUUGUGCUUCAAAGUAGCACCAUGUUCUUCAUAUAGAGAGUCUCUUGAGUUAUCACUUUCAUAUACUAGUGGGAAUUUUCAUUAUAGAACUUGGCUUGUAUAUUCCGAUGAUGGGCUUCCUCAAAUGCCCGAGGUCUUCAUGAGCAAGCAAGUUGGAUGCACACCCACUUAGUUUUCAGUAUGAGCUUUCAUACACUUAUAGCUCUUAAUGCAUCCGUUGCAUGGCAAUCCCUACUCCCUCACAUUGAUAUCUAUUGAUGGGCAUCUCCAUAUCCCGUUGAUACGCCUAGUUGAUGUGAGACUAUCUUCUCCUUUUUGUCUUCUCCACAACCACCAUUCUAUUCCACCUACAGUGCUAUAUCCAUGGCUCACGCUCAUGUAUUGCAUGAGGGUUGAAAAUGUUGAAGCGCGUUAAAAAGUAUGAACCAAUUGCUCGGCUUGUCAUCGAGGUUUUGCAUGAUGUGAAUAUUUUGUGUGGUGAAGAUGGAGCAUAGCCAGACUAUAUGAUUUUGUAGGGAUAACUUUCUUUGGCCUUGUUAUUUUGAAAAGACAUGAUUGCUUUAUUAGUGGGCUUGAAGUAUUAUUGUUUUUAUGUCAAAUGAUAGACUAUUGCUCUGAAUCACUCAUAUCUUAAUAUUCAUGCCAUGAUUAGAUUACAUGAUCAAGAUUAUGCUAGGUAGCAUCCCACAUCAAAAAUAUCUUUUUUUAUCAUUUACCAGCUCGAGGACGAGCAGGAAUUAAGUUUGGGGAUGCUGAUACGUCUCUGUCGUAUCUAUAAUUUUUUAUUGUUCCAUGCCAAUAUUCUACAACUUUCAUAUACUUUUGGCAACUUUUUAUACUAUUUUUGGGACUAGCAUAUUGAUCCAGUGCCCAGUGCCAGUUCCUAUUUGUUGCAGAUAGAGAUCGUGUUAAAAUUUCAGCCCAAUCGGAGUUACGGAUCUCUGGGAAUAUAAGAAACGGUGAAAGGGAAGAAUCUGAGAACACAGAAACAAAGAGAGAUAGAGGGACAGAUCCAAUCUCGGAGGGGCUCUCGCCCCUCCCAUUCCAUGGAGGCCAAGGACCAGAGGGGAAACCCUUCUGCCAUCUAGGGAGGAGGUCAAGGAAGAAGAAGAUGAAGGGCCCCCCUCUCCCCUUCUCUUCUGGCGGCGCCGGAACGCUGCCGUGGCCAUCAUCAUCAUCACCGCGAUCUACACCAACACCUCCGCCAUCUUCACCAACAUCUACAUCACCUUCACCCCUCCAUCUACAUCGGUCCACUCUCCCGCAACUCGCUGUACCCUCUACUUGAACAUGGUGCUUUAUGCUUCAUACUAUUACUCAAUGAUGUGUUGCCAUCCUAUGAUGUUUGAGUAGAUUUUCGUUGUCCUAUUGGUGGUUGAUGAAUUGCUAUGAUUGAUUUAAUUUGCUUGUGGUUAUGUUGCUGUCCUUUGGUGCCCAUCAUAUGAGCGCACGCGUGGAUCACACCAUAGGGUUAGUUGUAUGUUGAUAGGACUAUGUAUUGGAGGGCAAGAGUGACAGAAGCUUCAGCCUAGCAUAGAAAUUGAUGCAUACGGGAUUGAAGGGGAACCAAUAUAUCUUAAUGCUAUGGUUGGGUUUUACCUUAAUGAAUGUUAGUAGUUGUGGACGCUUGCUAAUAGUUCCAAUCAUAAGUGCAUAGAAUUCCAAGUCAGGGAUGGCAUGCUAGCAGUGGCCUCUCCCACAUAAUACUUGCUAUCGGUCUAGUAAAGUAGUCAAUUGCUUAGGGAUAAUUUCACAACUCCUACCACCACUUUUCCACACUCGCUAUAUUUACUUUAUUGCUUCUUUACUCACAACAGCCCCUACUUUUUAUUUACUUGCUCUUUAUUAUCUUGCAAACCUAUCCAACAACACCUACAAAGUACUUCUAGUUUCAUACUUGUUCUAGGUAAAGCGAACAUCAAGCGUGCGUAGAGUUGUAUCGGUGGUCGAUAGAACUUGAGGGAAUAUUUGUUCUGCCUUUAGCUCCUCGUUGGGUUCAACACUCUUACUUAUCAAAAACUGUUGCGAUCCCCUAUACUUGUGGGCUAUCAAGGACACUGCAUGCUGGCACCCGCCUGGCGCCAAUAGUCAUGGCUUGCGUCACAGGAACCUCGCAAGGUGCCCCUUGCCUUGAUCUCUCUGCCCCUCACGAGCCAACCUGGUGAGGCCGCCCCUGAGGAGGUCUUGCAUCAUCCGCCUCGCGAGGCUUGGCCCCUCGCAAGGGUCUUGAGUGUUUGCUGGUGAAGAUGGCUCGUACGGGGCCGCUGGUGGAGGCACGCUGUGGGCCGCAGGCAGGCAAGUCUGGGGACCCCCGUUCCCAGAACGACGACAAUUUGACCUAGAAAAAAAUGAGGAGAGGACUUUAGGGAUGGAGCACCACCGCCUCGAGGCGGAACUUGGGCAGGAGCACUUUUGCCCUCCGGUGGAGCGAUUCCGCCGGGGGAACUUCCUCCCGAAGGGGGAAAUCAUCGUCAUCAUCGUCACCAACAACUCUCCCAUCUUGGGGAGGGCAAUCUCCAUCAACAUCUUCAACAGAACCAUCUCCUCUCAAACCCUAGUUCAUCUCUUGUGUUCAAUCUUGUUACCGGAACUAUAGAUUGGUGCUUGUGGGUGACUAGUAGUGUUGAUUACAUCUUGUAGUUGAUUAAUGUAUGGUUUAUUUGGUGGAAGAUUAUAUGUUCAGAUCCAUUAUGCUAAUUAAUACACCUCUGAUCAUGACCAUGUUUAUCAUUUGUGAGUAGUUACCUUUGUUCUUGAGGUCGCGGGAGAAAUCAUGUUGCAAGUAAUCAUGUGAAGUUGAUAUGUGUUCGAUAUUCUGAUAGUAUGUAUGUUGUGAUUCCCUUAGUGGUGUCAUGUGAACGUCGACUACAUGAAACUUCACCAUAUUUGGGCCUAAGGGAAUUCAUUGUGGAGUAGAAAUUAGAUGAUGGGUUGCGUGAGUGACAGAAGCUUAAACCCUAGUUUAUGCGCUAUUCCGUAAGGGACCGACUGGACCCAAAAGUUUAAUGCUAUGGUUAGAAUUUAUUCUUAAUACUUUUCUUAUAGUUGCGGGUGCUUGCGGGAGGGUUAACCAUAAGUAGGAGGUUUGUUCAAGUAAGAACAAUACCUAAGCACCGGUCCACCCACAUAUCAAAUUAUCAAAGUAUCGAACACGAAUUAAACCAACAUGAUGAAAGUGACUAGAUGAAAUUCCCGUGUACCCUCAAGAACGCUUUGCUUAUUAUAAGAGACCGUUUUGGCCUGUCCUUUGCCUCAAAAGGAUUGGGCUACCUUCCUGCACUUUUGUUACUACUAUUGUUACUUGCUCGUUACAAAUUAUCCUGUUAUCAAGCUACUCCACUAAUUACAAUUUCAGCACUUGCAGACACUACCUUACUGAAAACUACUUGUCAUUUCCUUCUGCUCCGUGUUGGGUUCGACACUCUUGCUUAUCUAAAAGAGCUACAAUUUAUACCCUAUACUUGUGGGUCACCAAUCCUCAACUACGAGAAAAGUAUUAAGAAUAAAUUCUAACCAUAGGAUUAAACUUUUGGAUCCAAUCGCUCCCUUACGAAAUAGGGCAUAAACUGGGGUUUAAGCUUCUGUCACUCUCGUAACCCAUCAUCUAAUUGCUACUCCACAAUGCAUUCCCUUAGGCCCAAAUAUGGUGAAGUGUCAUGUAGUCGACGUUCACAUGACACCACUAAGGGAAUCGCAACAUACAUACUAUCAAAAUACCGAACACAUAUCAAGUUCACAUGAAUACUUGCAACAUGAUUUCUCCCAUGACCUCAAGAACAAAAGUAACUACUCACAAAUAAUAAUCAUGCUCAAGAUAAGAGGGGUAUUAAAUAGCAUAUUGGAUCUGAACAUAUAAUCUUCCACCAAAUAAACCAUACAGUAAUCAACUACAAGAUGUAAUUAACACUACUAGUCACCCACAAGCACCAAUCUAUAGUUUCGGUAACAAGAUUGAACACAAGAGAUGAACUAGGGUUUGAGAUGAGAUGGUGAUGUUGAAGAUGUUGAUGGAGACUGCCCUCCCCAAGAUGGGAGAGCUGUUGGUCAUGAUGAUGACGAUGAUUUCCCCCUCCGGGACGGAAAUUCGCCCGGCGGAAUCACUCCACCGGAUGGCAAAAGUGCUCCUGCCCAAGUUCCUCCUCGAGAGGGUGGCGCUCCAUCCCGAAAGUCCUCCCUUUAUUUUUUUCUAGGUCAAAAUGACUUAUAUACCAGAAGAUGGGCACCGGAGGUGGGCCUGGGUGAGCACAACCCACCAGGGCGCGCCUGGGCUCCCUGGCGCGCCCAGGUGGGUUGUGCCCACCUGAUGUACCCCCUCUGGUAGUUAUUUGCUCCAAUAUUCUUCAAAUAUUUGAUAAAAAAAUUCCAUGGAGUUUUAGCUUAUUUGGGGUUGUGCAGAAUAGGUGGCCUAACAUAGCUUUUCGAGGUCCAGAUUUCCAGCUGCCGGAAUUCUCCCUCUUUGUGUAUACCUUGCACAUUAUGAGAGAAAAGGCAUUAGAAUUACUCCAAAAGCAUUAUUAUGGAUAAAAACAUCAUAAAUAAAAGUAAGAAAACAUGAUGCAAAAUGGACGUGUCAAGUAUGAGGGUUGACUGGUAUGGCUGCGGUAUGAGGCUGCCAUCAUGCAGAAUAACAACGGGUGUGGGUGAGUAGAAGGAUGGCAUGGCCAGCGGUGGGAGUAGUAGGGGGCAGUGAGGCCUCCGCGGCAGCACAGCCGGCCACGGGAGGCAGGAGCUGGCGGCACGACCGAUGCUGGUUUGGGCGGCUAGAGCAAGAAGACCAUAGGUUGAAGAAGCACUACGGUCGUUGGAUGGACAUCGUACGGUCACUGGAGCUAGAAUCAUUCAUAUUGACUAAGUUGACAAAUCUCUCCAUCCGCGUCAGUAGGCCCACAAGUCAGCCUCCAACUAUGGUGGGUCCCAGCUAGCAGGGGAGUAUUCAUUUUUUUGUGCGUAAUAAGGAGGCACUUCCUUGUGUGCGAAGAUAUAGAUGGUGGGUCUGAGCUGUCAGCGAGGGGAACUUUUUCACGAAAUACAGAGGCCCUUUCGGUGGGUCCCAGCUGUCAGGUGGAGGAAUCAUUAUUUUGCGCGUAAUAAGGAGGCAUUUCCUUGCGUGUGGCCGUGGACCCAGUUGUUAGCCUCUCCACUCAUAGUCCACUUUCGAUGGAUGUCGUUCGUUGACCAUGUUGACCAUGCUGCGCCGAGAGCACCUGGGCGGUGGACGACGGCGAGGCUUAGGAAGGGAACGACAGGAGCCAGGGAAGACUCGGCAGUUGUUUCCCAUGUGGAGGGGAGUAUGAGGGUUUACUGGUUUGCCUGCUGUUGCCGGAGAAUAACAGCAGGUGUGGGUGAGUAGAGGGAUGGCUAGGCCAGCGACGGGAGUACGAUGGGGUGGUGAGGCCUGCGUGGCAGCACAGCCGGCCGCGGGAGGAGAGAGCAGGCAGUCCACCGGCGCUUGUUUGAGCGGUUGUAGCAGGAAGAGCAGAGAUUCAAGAAGCACGACGGUUGUUGGAUGUACAUACAAUAGUCACUACUCUCGUGUGUUGACUAAGUUUACACGGCAUUGCAUGUGCGUCAACCUUUUUUUGGAAAGCGUACGCAUCAACCUAUAGUAGGCGCACAAGUCAGCCUCAAAUGUGUGGAAAAUAGCAUACAACCCAUCUGCCAUUAUUUCUAAUAAUUUACAACCAUUUGCUAAUUCUUAAGGAUUUUUUGGAGCCCAUCUUCUUUUUGUUAGCAUUACACUACAGCCCAUAUUGUGGCCACGGUUAAAAAUUAUAUGGAAUUUUGCAUAUUUCAGUGCGGUCAACUGUUUUUAAUCACGAAAUUUCGAGUCCGAAUCCCUCCCCUUCCUUCUCUCUUCCCCUCUUUCCUUCCCCUUCUGGUUUGGCCUAUAUGGGGGGCGCAACAGCCCAUGUUGGCUGCUGCGUUUCCCCUCUUGGCCUGUAGGAUCGAAAGUAUGUCUAGAGGGGGGUGAUUGGACUACUUGACCAAAUAAAAAUCUAGCCUUUUCCCAAUUUUAAGUAUUGGCAGAUUUUAACAACUUAGCACAAGUCAAGCAAUCAACAUACACAAGCAAGUCUAAGAGUAUAGCAGCGGAAUGUAAAACAUUGCACAUGAAGGUAAAGGGAGGAGUUUGGAGGGAGCAAACGCAAUGUAGACACGGAGAUUUUUGGCGUGGUUCUGAUAGGUGGUGCUAUCGUACAUCCACGUUGAUGGAGACUUCAACCCAUGAAGGGUAACGCUUGCGUUAGUCCAUGGAGGGCUCCACCCAUGAAGGGUACACAAAGAAGCAACCUUGUGUAUCCCACCAUGGCCAUCGCCCACGAAGGACUUGCCUCACUAGGGUAGAUCUUCACGAAGUAGGCGAUCUCCUUGCCCAUACAAAAUCCUUGGUUCAACUCCACAAUCUUGACGGAGGCUCCCAAAUGACACCUAACCAAUCUAGGAGACACCACUCUCCAAAAGGUAAUAUACGAUGUGUUGAUGAUGAACUCCUUGCUCUUGUGCUUCAAAUGAUAGUCUCCCCAAUACUCAACUCUCUCUCACAGAUUUCGAUUUGGUGGAAAGAUGAUUUGAGUGGAAAGCAACUUGGGGAAGGCUAGAGAUCAAGAUUCAAAUGGUUGGAAUGGAAUAUCUUGGUCUCAACACAUGAGUAGGUGGUUCUCUCUUUGAAAAUGAAUGCUGAAGUGUAGGCACAUUCUGAUGGCUCUCCUCUUUAAUGAAGGAAGGGUGGAGGGGUAUAUAUAGCCUCCACACAAAAUCUAACCAUUACACACAAUUCACCAAACUCGGUGGGACCAAAUCAGAAAACUCGGUGGGACUGAAACAUUACGAAAGGGAGACAGAGAGUUUGCAUUGCGAACUCGGUGGGACCGAUCGCUCAUCUCGGUUGGACCGAAAUGUUACGAAGGGAAAUAGAGAGUUUGCAAUCCCAUCUCGGUGAGACCGAGAUCCCUAUCGGUGAGACCGAUAUGACUAGGGUUUCUGGCAGUGGCUAUGUCAAGUGAACUCGGUGGCGCCAGAUAGAACUUUCCGGUGCGGCCGACUUUGACUUUUUGGUUUGGGACAUAUGUGGAUAUGAGAAAGUGGUUGAGGGUUUUUGGAGCAUAUCACUAAGCAUUUGAGAAAGCAAGCCAUUAAGAAACACCUCAUCCCCUUUUAAUAGUAUUGGAUUUUCCUAUGGACUCAAUGUGAUCUUGGAUUACUAAAAUUAAAAUGUAGAGUCUUGAGCUUGAGCCAAUAUGUGUCCUUAGCAUAUUGAUGGGUCCACAUUCCUAAUCCAUGCCAUGCCAAUCAUUGAACUAUCUGAAAUGAUCAUCUUGAAAUAGUAUUAGUUUAAUGAGCUAUAUGUUGUUAGUAAUUACCAAAACCACCCAGGGAUAGUUGCACUUUCAAUCUCCCCCUUUUUGGUAAUUGAUUACAACAUAUAGAUCAAAGCUUCGACAAAUGAUAAUAAGAUUGAAAUGCAUCAUCUCUUUGAGAAGUAUGUGAUAAGCAAGAGCUUCCCCUGAAUUUGUGCACUAUUUAUGAUUUGCUUUUGAAUGGAAAUGCACAAUCGAUUAGGAUCAUGGGUCACUCUUCCAUGUCACACACAUCUUGGUGGAGCUCUCAAAAUGAUAUGAAUUAAAACAUGCACUCAUCACCGAGCAAAGUGAACGAUCAUAUAAGGAUAUAAAGGAUAAUGUCAUCCAAGAAAACAUUAAAGUAGCAUAUGAUCAAACACAUGAUCACACAAGUAUCUCACACAUGCAUAGAGUAUCAACCAAGCACACAAUAAAGUUCAACCAAAAACAAGAGAGACAAAGAAGCAAAACACUCUUUCUCGAAGCCUACAAUCUAUACAUUUCUCCCCCUUUGGCAACAAGUUGCCAAAAAGAUCAAAAAUGCAUAGUGCUAUGAGUCUCUCAGGCUUGGUCUUCGGGAGGUGGUGUAGAGAGAACUCCAAGGAUGAAGGCAUCAGUGGAUGAUGUUGGAGCUGGUGGAGCAGGUGCUGGAGGUGGUACUGAAGCUGUCGCUGGUGCAGAUGAAGUAGCUCUUGUGUCUGUUACUGGCACUGCAGUUGACCUCUAGCUCCUUGGCACAUGCUGAAAAGCAUCCGUAGUUGCCCUUCCUCUCCUCUCCUCGGCUUCCUCCUAGAGCUGCUCAACUGCAGUCUGUAUCUCAGUCACCUUGAGCUCAAGAUCAUAGAACUUGGUCACUACGAUCCUCUCCAAGCUCUCCUGAUUCUGAGUCAGGGUGGCCAAGCCCUUCUCAAUCCUCAAUGUAGCUUGAAUCAGAUAACCCAAUUGAUCUUGUUUGCUCUUUAGGAACACCUGAGAUGCUUCCUCAGCAGUUGGCAUCCUAGCAGCCUUUUCUGCCUUUGCCUUGGCUCUCUUCUCUUGUUCUUGUGCUUGUGCUGAUGAAGGUUCAUUCUCAUUCAUUACAACUUCAUUGUCUUCAAAAUCUGGUACAAGGGUAAAUGCUCCUUAUCCAACAAGUAAGUACAUGUGCCCAUCUUUGAGUUGAUGAGCACCUGAAUGUGUGGAGCAUACCCACAAGAUCUCUUCUGGUCAGCAGCUGUCCUCUUGACUGUCUCAACAAUCAGACUCAUGACCUUGAAUUUUUGUGGUACAUCAAAGAUGUGCAGCAAGUUGAUGGAAUGUCCCCUUAUCAUCUUGUGAUCUCCAGAUUUGGGUAACAGAGUAUGCCUUAAGAUGGUGUUGAUAGUAGGCAGACCAAACAGCAAAUAGUGCACAGAUCCAAGCUUGUGUGUCUCCAAAGCUUUAUCGUGGAUCUCCUUGUACAUAUUUGCCAUUGAUUUUUGGUCCUUUUUCUUCUUGGCAUACACAUCCAAAUCGUCCUCAUGUUCCUCUAGGGCAUUGAUCAACUUGGCCCAUUCAUCAACAGUUGAUUGGUACCUUGUACCUUUAGACAUCCACACUAUCCUCCUAUCUAGAUAGAAAUGAGCAGUGGAGUAAAAUUGCUUGAUUAGCUCAUCAUUCCAUUUUGUGAGCUUCUAUUCAACAAAUUUGUCAACUCCACAAGCUUUUAAGCUUUCAUGUACACCUGGGAAGUGAUCUUCAUUCUCAUCGAUAAAUUCCCUAUCGACCCAUCUCAUAUCAGUGACAAUUGGCUUCUUGUCAAGCAAAAUGGUCUCAUAGAAGUCUUAUUGUUAUUUGGUGUGGAACCUAUAUAGUCCACUGCAGUUCUCCUUCUUAUAGCAUAUGGAUCAGACUGCCUCCAAAGUCUCAAUCCUGCAUCCUUUCUGAUGUUCAUGUCCUCAGCCACUGGAUGAGCGUCAUUAUGAUCUGGAAUCUUGGGUCUCAGUUUUCUCACCACUUGGUCUUCAUCAUCUUCUUCUUCAACUUCAGGCACUGGGGCCUUGUUCUUCUCUUCAGCAGGAAUGUUUCUGGUGCUUCUCUUGGGCUUAGAAGGCUUCUGAGCUUGAGCUUGUUCUUUGGGAGCAGUUUUGGGCUUUGAUGUUGCAGCCCCUGACUUGAUUGCAUCUCCCAUGAGCUUCUGAGACUUGGGAGCUGGAGCAGCAUCCUCUUCCUCUUCAUCUUCUUCUGGCUCUCUCAUGAUGGAGGAUCUACCAAGCACUCUGGCAGUGGUCUUCUUGACCCUCUCCUUCCUCUUCUUUCCCUCUCCAGCAGCCUCUCCAGUUGGCUUAGAGGUUUCAGCAGUUGAGGCUCUGACUUUUAAGGUUGGCACCCUCUUGGCAGGGGCCUUCUUGUGCAAACUAGACUUUGUACUUGCAGCAGUACCAUGCUCUUUCUUCAACACCUUCUUCUUGGAGCUAACUUCCUCUUCAGUGGCCACAUAGUCCUCAUCUUCAGAAUCUGAGGUUUUAUUCUUCCUUGACCUGGUGGUUGCUUUGGCAAAUUACUGGGAGUGCUCCUGCUGCCAUCAUCUGAGGUACUUGAGGGACUAGUGCCCUCACUCAAUUACACUGGCUCUUCAGAUCUGUUUUGGCUGUCACUUUGGUCAGACAUCUUGGCAAUCACACUGACAGCAAACCUUGUGAAUAGAUGUAGAUGAGGUAGAAUGGAUGAGCAUCACAAAGUGCAGAGUUUUUGCAAAACAAAUGAGUCAAAAACUUAGUUUUAGUUCUCCACAGAAAGUAUUUCGAAGCUACCGAUUUGUUAAACUCGAUGAUACCGAAGCAACUUUUGGAACCUAAACUAGUGAACUUGGUCAAACCGAGUCACAGUUUGGUGGCACCGAGAUUGCUAGGGUUUCACAGAGAGUCAAACUCGGUCGCACCGAUUUGCAAUUUUCGAUCAGACCGAAAACACAUGUGCAAUGGCCUAAGCCAAAUCGGUGAGACCUAUUUCUACAACUCGGUCGCUCUGAGAUGAGUUCGGCGGAGAUCUUACCCUAAAUUUUUGAAUCAAAUCUAACCUAAAGGAUGUUUUCUCUGGAUAGAUUGUUUUCAUACAUGGAAAAGAUCAUGGCAAAGCAAUGUGCUAGGAAUCGGAGUAAGGAAAUAGCAGAAAGUAUCAAACCUAUACCCUAUUUCGGCGGGAGUUCGCUACGGCGACAACGGUGGAGAAAAAUUCCGUUGACGGCAGUGGAAACCAGCGGUGGGGGGUCGCUGGUGGCGAGGAGAUGAUCCUGAGACCCGAGGCGGUAGAGCAGGACACACGUGGGAUGAAGGGUUUUGGAGGAAUUUCCAAAAUUCAACCCGUCGGUAUAUAUAUCCCGACCCUGUCGGUGUGACUGAGUGGAACAACUCGGUGGCACUGAGAUGCAGAAUCGCGAGCGGUUACUGCAACUCGGUGUGACCGAAAAUUUCAAAUCGGUUGAACCGAGAUGGAAAACCUAGAUCAACUUGAUGAACUCGGUGUGACCGAAGUGGACGACUCGGUCAUACCGAAAUGCACGAAGAGGUUUUGGAAAUUUAAGCCUAUGAUGAAUCAGGAACUCCGAGUGCUCCUCAAACAGAGUGGUUCGAAUCUGACUUGAUCAAACUUUGUGAUGUAGCAUGAAUAGAGUUUGAGACGAGAAAAGCAUAAAUAGCUAGAGGAGGUUCUUAGGCAUUCUCGUCCAUCCAUUUGGCAAAAGGGAAAUAGCCAAACAAUCAAAGCAACAAAUGGAUGUCCUUGAAUGAGUAAAAUAUGCAAUCAACAUGCUCACUCAAUAAAAUGGCAAAUGAAAUAUGUGACAAAGCAUGUACAAACAUUCUAGCAUCUAUCAAGUAAUUGUCUCUGACUAGGUCAUCAAUUUAUGAGUAUAUUGACUCAGGAGUCAAAUGAGAACAUUUGAUCAUAGGUCAUACUCAUCGUUUAAGCAAAAGUGGGGUUACCACUUUUACAUAAAGCAUUGUUGUGUUCACACUAUUAGAGUUGCUUUAGCUCGAUUGAUUAGAGUAAAGCUCCCCUAGAUGUGAUGUCCCCCCUAAGAGGGACGAACUAACCUUGGGUAUUGUCGAUGAUGACUUCAUGUAGAUGUUGAAGAUGUGGAUGCUCAAUGUUGAUGUAGAUCAUUUGAAGCAAUCCAUUGGAGUGAGUUGCACUUUCUAUACCUACAUGAGUUAGUCAUGUUGGAAAUAUGACCUAGAGGCGAUAAUAAAAUGGUUAUUAUUAUAUUUCUUUGUUCCCGGCCAUGAGCUUGGAAAACCAUUUUCAGCUCUUCGAACAUCUCAUAUGCUCCGUGUCUCUCAAAACGGUUUUGGAGCCACAGAUUGAUUGAAUCGUCGACAUCGUGGUUCAUCCGAUGAGAUCAUCAAGGAGCAUGUGGGAGCCAACACGUGUAUCUAGAUCCGCUGUUGGUUAUUGACCGGAGAGUACGUGUAAGGUCGGUCCGGGCCGCUUCAUCCCAUGAUGCCGCCGAAUCAAGAUAAGACUAGUAACGGCAAGCAAAUUGACAAUAUCCACGCCCACAACUGCUUUGUGUUCUACUCGUGCAUAGAAACUACGCAUAGGCCUAGCUCCGUUCUCAGGAACAAUGGAGCGAGCAACCAACUUAUUGGAAAUCAUACAUACUGAUGUGUGCGGUCCAAUAAGUGUGGAGGCUCGCGGUGGCUAUCGUUAUGUUCUCACCCUCACUGAUGACUUGAGUAGAUAUGGGUAUGUCUACUUAAUGAAACACAAGUCUGAGACCUUUGAAAAGUUCAAGGAAUUUCAGAGCGAGGUUGAGAAUUAACAUGACAGGAAAAUCAAGUUCUUGCGAUCAGAUCGUGGGGGAGAAUACUUGAGUCACGAAUUUGGCACACACUUAAGAAAAUGUGGAAUAGUUUCACAACUCACGCCGCCUGGAACACCUCAGCGUAAUGGUGUGUCCGAACAUCGUAAUCGCACUCUAUUGGAUAUGGUGCGAUCUAUGAUGUCUCUUACCGAUCUACCACUGUCAUUUUGGGGCUAUGCUUUAGAGACUGCCGCAUUCACUUUAAAUAGGGCUCCGUCGAAAUCCGUUGAGACGACACCGUAUGAAUUAUGGUUUGAGAAGAAACCUAAGCUAUCGUUUCUAAAAGUUUGGGGAUGCGAUGCUUAUGUCAAGAAACUUCAACCUGAAAAGCUCGAACCCAAAUCGGAAAAAUGCGUCUUCAUAGGAUACCCUAAAGAAACUAUUAGGUAUACCUUCUACCUCAGAUCCGAAGGCAAGAUCUUUGUUGCCAAGAAUGGGUCCUUUCUAGAGAAAGAGUUUCUCUCGAAAGAAAUAAGUGGGAGGAAAGUAGAACUUGAUGAAGUAUUACCUAUUGAACCGGUAAGUGGCGCAGCUCAAGAAAAUGUUCCUGAGGUGCCUGCACCGACUAGAGCGGAAGUUGAUGAUGAUGAUCAUGAAACUUCAUAUCAAGUUGCUACUGAACUUCGUAGGUCCAUGAGGACACGUUCCGCACCAGAGUGGUACGGCAAUCCUGUCUUGGAAAUCAUGUUGUUAGACAACGGUGAACCUUCGAACUAUGAAGAAGCGAUGGCGGGCCCGGAUUCCGACAAAUGGCUGGAAGCCAUGAAAUCCGAGAUAGGAUCCAUGUAUGAAAACGAAGUAUGGACUUUGACUAACUUGCCCGAUGAUCGGCAAGCCAUAGAAAAUAAAUGGAUCUUUAAGAAGAAGACAGACGCGGAUGGUAACGUAACCAUCUAUAAAGCUCGGCUUGUCGCUAAGGGUUAUCGACAAGUUCAAGGGGUUGACUACAAUGAGACUUUCUCACCCGUAGCGAAGCUGAAGUCCGUCCGAAUCAUGUUAGCAAUUGCCGCAUUCUAUGAUUAUGAGAUAUGGCAAAUGGACGUCAAAACGGCAUUCCUUAAUGGUUUCCUUAAGGAAGAAUUGUAUAUGAUGCAGCUGGAAGGUUUUGUCGAUCCUAAGAAUGCUGACAAGGUGUGCAAGCUCCAACGCUCGAUUUAUGGGCUGGUGCAAGCAUCUCGGAGUUGGAACAUUCAUUUUGAUGAGAUGAUCAAAACAUUUGGGUUUAUGCAGACUUAUGGAGAAGCCUCCAUUUACAAGAAAGUGAGUGGGAGCUCUGUAGCAUUUCUCAUAUUGUAUGUGAAUGACAUACUGUUGACGGGAAAUGAUAUAGAAUUCUUGGAAAGCAUAAAGGCCUACUUGAACAAGUGUUUUUCAAUGAAGGAUCUUGGAGAAGCUGCUUAUAUAUUAGGCAUCAAGAUCUAUAGAGAUAGAUCGAGACGCCUCAUUGGUCUUUCACAGAGUACGUACCUUGACAAGAUAUUGAAGAAGUUCAAAAUGGAUCAAUCAAAGAAGGGGUUUUUGCCUAUAUUGCAAGGUACGAGAUUGAGCACGGCUCAAUGCCCGACCACGGCAGAAGAUAGAGAAAAGAUGAGUGUCGUCCCCUAUGCCUCGACCAUAUAGUCUAUCAUGUAUGCUAUGCUGUGUACCAGACCUGAUGUAAACCUUGCCGUAAGUUUGGUAGGAAGGUACCAAAGUAAUCCCGGCAUGGAACACUGGACAACGGUCAAGAAUAUCCUGAAGUACCUGAAAAGGACUAAGGAUAUGUUUCUCGUUUAUGGAGGUGACGAAGAGCUCGUCGUAAAGGGUUACGUCGAUGCUAGCUUCGACACAGAUCUGGAUGACUCUAAGUCACAAACCGGAUACGUGUAUAUUUUGAAUGGUGGGGCAGUAAGCUGGUGCAGUUGCAAGCAAAGCGUUGUCACGGGAUCUACAUGUGAAGCGGAGUACAUGGCAGCCUCGGAGGCAGCACAAGAGGCAAUCUGGGUGAAGGAGUUCAUUACCGACCUAGGAGUCAUACCCAAUGCGUCGGGCCCGAUGACUCUCUUCUGUGACAACACUGGAUCUAUUGCCCUUGCCAAGGAGCCCAGGUUUCACAGGAAGGCCAGGCAUAUCAAGCGUCACUUCAACUCCAUUCGUGAAAGUGUUCAAAAUGGAGACAUAGAUAUUUGUAAAGUACAUAUGGACCUGAAUGUGGCAGAUCCGUUGACUAAACCUCUCCCUAGAGCAAAACAUGAUCAACACCAGAACUGCAUGGGUGUUCGAUUCAUCACAAUGUAACUAGACUAUUGACUCUAGUGCAAGUGGGAGACUGUUGGAAAUAUGCCCUAGAGGCAAUAAUAAAAUGGUUAUUAUUAUAUUUCUUUGUUCAUGAUAAUUGUCUAUUGUUCAUGCUAUAAUUGUGUUAUCCGAAAAUCGUAAUACAUGUGUGAAUACAUAGACCACAACACGUCCCUAGUGAGCCUCUAGUUGACUAGCUCGUUGAUCAAAAGAUAGUCAUGGUUUCCUGACUAUGGACAUUGGAUGUCAUUGAUAACGGGAUCACAUCAUUAGGAGAAUGAUGUGAUGGACAAGACCCAAUCCUAAGCAUAGCUCAAAGAUCAUGUAGUUCGUUUGCUAUAGCUUUUCCGAAUGUCAAGUAUCAUUUCCUUAGACCAUGAGAUUGUGCAACUCCCGGAUACCGUAGGAGUGCCUUGGGUGUGCCAAACGUCACAACGUAACUUGGUGACUAUAAAGGUACACUACAGCUAUCUCCGAAAGUGUCUGUUGGGUUGGCACGAAUCGAGACUGGGAUUUGUCACUCCGUAUGAUGGAGAGGUAUCUCUGGGCCCAAUCGGUAACGCAUCAUCAUAAUGAGCUCAAUGUGACCAAGUGGUUGAUCACGGGAUCAUGCAUUACGGUACGAGUAAAGUGACUUGCCGGUAACGAGAUUGAACGAGGUAUUGGGAUACCGACGAUCGAGUCUCGGACAAGUAACAUACUGAUUGACAAAGGGAAUUAUAUACGGAUUGAUUGAAUCCUCGACAUCGUGGUUCAUCCGAUGAGAUCAUUGAGGAGCAUGUGGGAGCCAACAUGGGUAUCCAGAUCCCGCUGUUGGUUAUUGACCGGAGAGUCAUCUCGGUCAUGUCUGCGUGUCUCCCGAACCCGUAGGGUCUACACACUUAAGGUUCGGUGACGCUAGGGUUGUUGAGAUAUUAGUAUACGGUAACCCGAAAGUUUUUCGGAGUCCCGGAUGAGAUCCCGGACGUCACGAGGAGUUCCGGAAUGGUCCGGAGGUGAAGAUUUAUAUAUAGGAAGUCAAGUUUCGGCCAUCGGGAAAGUUCCGGGGGUAAUCGGUAUUGUACCGGGACCACCAGAAGGGUCCCGGGGGUCCACCGGGUGGGGCCACCUAUCCCGGAGGGCCCCAUGGGCUGAAGUGGGAAGGGAACCAGCCCCUAGUGGGCUGGUGCGCCCCCCUUGGGCCUCCCCCUGCGCCUAGGGUUGGAAACCCUAGGGGUGGGGGCGUCCCACUUGGCUUGGAGGGCAAGCCACCCCCUUGGCCGCCGCCCCCCCUUGGAGAUUGGAUCUCCUAGGGCCGGCGCCCCCCUAGGGACCCUAUAUAUAGUGGGGGGAGGGAGGGCAGCCGUACCCUAGCCCCUGGCCUCUCCCUCUCCCUCCCGUGACACUCCUCCCUCUCCCUGUGCUUGGCGAAGCCCUGCCGAGAUCAACGUUGCUUCCACCACCACGCCGUCAUGCUGCUGGAUCUUCAUCAACCUCUCCUUCCCCCUUGCUGGAUCAAGUUGGAGGAGACGUCUUCCCAACCGUACGUGUGUUGAAUGCAGAGGUGCCGUCCGUUUGGUGCUAGGUCAUCGGUGAUUUGGAUCAUGACGAGUACGACUCCAUCAACCCCGUUCUCUUGAACACUUCCGCACGCGAUCUACAAGGGUAUGUAGAUGCACUCCUCUCUCCCUCGUUGCUAGAUGACUCCAUAGAUUGAUCUUGGUGAUGCGUAGAAAAUUUUAAAAUUCUGCUACGUUCCCCAACAAGUCCCACAAGGAACAAACAAGGAUAUCCAUAGACAUAGAGUGAAGUACACACAAGAUGAUGUCCAUGAAAGCAUUAGGUUACCUUGUCCCUUGUCUUACCAACAAGAGGGUUUGUGACUCCUUGAACUAGUGCAAGAUGUGGAAGUUGUUUGCACUUGUUAUCGCCAAAGUGAUAUGAGUGAAGUAUGUUGGCAGAGUCACCCUCAAGAACUUUCUAGUUCUUCUUCUUCGGGAUCCACAUCAUCUUGAUGGGAAUCCUUGGAGUUGUAGUCGUACUUGAUGCAGUAUAACUUGAUGUAGUCUUGGGAACCCACUUGACCAAGGCCUUAUGAGCUUCUUUAAAUGCAUCAAUCUCCUCUUGGAGUUUGUCCUUGCCUUUUUGCUUGUGGUUUUGUGGUGGAAGAUCAUCUUGAGCUUGUGUCCCUUGGAAAGAAGUAGGAUCAUACUUCUCUUGUUGAGGAACAAACUUCGUCUUGGGGUAUUGAUCUUCUUCCAACUCAACUCCAUUGGCAUUGAACUUUUGUUCAAAACCAAUACCUUGAUUCUUCAGGUGCCUUCCUUGCUUGCGUACAGUUUCCUCAAAUUGCUUACUUCCGACAAGACUCUUGUAGACACAUUUCUCUAUAAUUCCCUUCAAUAGGCUAUUUUCUUGCUCAAGUGUAACUUGGCUAAGAGAAUCAUUAGUGGAAUCAAGAGAACUACUAGAAGCAACAAUAUUGGAUUUGACAUAAUUGUUGUUACUACUAGAAGAAGAAUCUUUCUUACUCUUGUUACUAGAUUUAACUUGUGACAUGUAAGAACACAAGAGUAAACACUUGGCAAUGUAAGAAGAACUUUUCUUGCGAAGAUCAUCACUGAUUGCCUUUAAGAACCCAUGCUCUUGCUCAAGGUUGAGCUUUUCAAAACGUAACUUCUCAUGAGUCUUUAAAAGUUCUCGAUGAUCUUCCAAGGUAGUUUCAUGAGCUAACUUAAGAGGUUUAGUUCUUUAGUUAGACACUCAGUCUCCUACUUAUCAUCGUCAUUCGUUUUAUCUUGAUUAGCAUGAUUAAUAGCAAGUUCAUCAUAGUUUUCAUCACUAGAGUUGUCAACAAGUAAAUCAUCAUCACCUAGCAAAUCAUCUUCAUCAGUAUUGAAAUCAACAUACUCGGGGUGUGAUACCUUUGGUCCUUUAGCCAUGAAGCAUCUUCCAAUUCCUUCAUUAUUUGAGUCAAAUAUAUUGUAGGAGUUGGUUGAUACAAGUGCUAUACCGGCAAUACCUUCAUCUUGAGUAUAUUCGGAGUCGGAGUGAUAACUUCUCUCGGAGUGAUUGUCGGAGUCGGAGCCGGAUACCCAUUCACCAACAUGAGCUUGAUGUCUUCGUUUUGUGUAGCUCCUUGAUGAUUUGUCCUUCCUUUCCGAAUCCUUGCUUCUCCAUGAUGUGCUUCGUUCAUAACGGUCAUCUCUACUCCUUCUCUCUCUAGGUGGUGAUUCUUCUCUUCUACUUCUCCUUUUGGGUGUAUCUUCUCUUCUUUUGUACGGAGCCGUACACUCAUUGGAGUAGUGUCCGGGUCUUCCACAAUUGUAGCAAUUACGUUCACGACUCGAAGAUCUUUUAUCAUUGUAGGACCUUGACUUGGAACUCCUUUCCUUGCUUCUACUCUUGUAGAACUUGUUGAAGUUCUUCACCAUUAGGAUCAAUUCUUCAUUGAAGGCUUGUUUCUCACUCGAUGAUCUAGGAGUAUCACAUGAGGCUUUGUAAGCACCACUUGACUUGUUGUGAAGCUCUUCCUUAUCCUUCACUGACAUCUCAUGAGCAACAAUUCUUCAAGUGACUUCCGUUGGCUUGAGAUCUUUGUAGUUGGGCAUCAUUUGGAUCAAUGUGCACAUGGUAUCAUAUUUUCCAUCCAAUUCUCUUAGGAUCUUCUUGGUGAUGAAUCUAUCGGUCAUCUCUUCACUUCCUAAGCCGACAAUCUCAUUUGUGAUGAGAGCGAGCCUAGAGUACAUUUCAGCGACACCUUCACCAUCCUUCAUUUUGAACUUGUCAAGUUGACUUGGAGGCACAUCCAAUUUGGAUUCCUUGACGGAGUCGAUACCCUCGUGCAUAUCAACCAAAGUAUCCCAAAUUUCCUUUGCAUUCUCAAGACGGUUGACUUUGUUGAAUUAUUCGGGGCACAAUCCAUUGAAGAGUAUAUCGCAAGCUUGAGCGUUGUAUUGCAGCAUCUUCAACUCUUCCACGGUAGCUUCAUGGUUUGGUUCUCUCCCAUCAAAGAAUUCAUCAUGCAAGCCAAUACACACAACAGCCCAAAUGGUAGGGUUAUGUCCAAGAAUACACAUUUUCAUCUUAUGCUUCGAACUAGCAAAAUUAGUACCAUAAAAGUAAGGACCUCUACGGUGGUAAUUUCCCUCGUUAGACGCCAUACUAUCGUAGGUUGUGAAACCAAGGCUAUGAUCACCAAAAGCUAUGGAAAUCAAGGCAAAUGGAGACCAAAGCUCUGAUACCACUUGUAGGAUCGAAAGUAUGUAUAGAGGGGGGUGAUUAGACUACUUGACCAAAUAAAAAUCUAGCCUUUUCCCAAAUUUAAGUAUUGGCAGAUUUUAACAACUUAGCACAAGUCAAGCAAUCAACCUACACAUGCAAGUCUAAGAGUAUAGUAGCGGAAUGUAAAACAUUGCACAUGAAGGUAAAGGAAGGAGUUUGGAGGGAGCAAACACAAUGUAGACACGGAGAUAUUUGGCGUGGUUUCGAUAUGUGGUGCUAUCGUACAUCCACGUUGAUGGAGACUUCAACCCACGAAGGGUAAUGGUUGCGCGAGUCCACAAAGGGCUCCAUCCAUGAAGGGUCCAUGAAGAAGCAACCUUGUAUAUCCCACCAUGGCCAUCACCCAUGAAGUACUUGCCUCACUAGGGUAGAUCUUCACGAAGUAGGUGAUCUCCUUGCCCGUACAAACUCCUUGGUUCAACUCCACAAUCUUGACGGUGGCUCUCAAGUGAAUCCUAACCAAUCUAGGAGACACCACUCUCCAAAAGGUAAUGGAUGGUGUGUUGAUGAUGAACUCCUUGCUCUUGUGCUUCAAAUGAUAGUCUCCCCAACACUCAACUCUCUCUCAUAGAUUUGGAUUUGGUGGAAAGAUGGUUUGAGUGGAAAGCAACUUGGUGAAGGCUAGAGAUCAAGAUUCAAAUGGUUGGAAUGGAAUAUCUUGGUCUCAACACAUGAGUAGGUGGUUCUCUCUCAGAAAAUGAAUGCUGAAGUGUAGGCACGUUCUAAUGGCUCUCCUCUUUAAUAGAGGAAGGGUGGAGGGGUAUAUAUAGCCUCCACACAAAAUCUAACCAUUACACACAAUUCACCAAACUCGGUGGGAACGAAUCAGAAAACUCGGUGGGACCGAUUCAGUUCAAAAUGUGAACGUUGGGCUUUUCGGUGGGACUGACAUGUCAACUUGAUGGGACCAAUUUCAUUAGGGUUAGGGCAUAACGUAAUCUCAGUGAGACCGAUUACACAAACUCGAUGGGACCGAUUUUGGUAAUAAGCUAACCAGAGAGUUGGUUAGGCAAACUCGGUGGGACCGAAUCGCUCAUUUUGGUGAGACCGAAACAUUAUGAAAGGGAAACAGAGAGUUUGCAUUGUGAACUCGAUGGGACCGAUCGCUCAUCUCGGUUGGACCGAAACGUUAGGAAGGGAAACCGAGAGUUCGCAAUCCCAUCUCGAUGAGACCGAGAUCCCUAUCGGCGAGACCGAUAUGACUAGGGUUUCUAGAAGUGGCUAUGUCAAGUGAACUCGGUGGCGCUGGAUAGAACUUUUCGGUGGGGCCAAGUUUGACUUUUUGGUUUGGGACAUAUGUGGAUAUGAGAAAGUGGUUGAGGGUUUUUGGAGCAUAUCACUAAGCAUUUUGAGCAAGCAAGCCAUUAAGAAAGAUAUCAUCCCCUUUUAAUAGUAUUGGCUUUUCCUAUGGACUCAAUGUGAUCUUGGAUCACUAAAAAUAAAAUGUAGAGUCUUGAGCUUGAGCCAAUAUGUGUCCUUAGCAUUUUGAGGGGUCCACAUUCCUAAUCCAUGCCAUGCCAAUCAUUGAACUUUUUUAAAUGAUCAUCUUGAAAUAGUAGUAGUUCAAUGAGCUAUAUGUUGUUAGUAAUUACCCAAGCCACCCAGGGAUAGUUGCACUUUCAGCCCAUUAGGCCCAUAUCUUUCCAGGGUUGCCCAGAACCCCUUCCGAUGACCCGAUAUCUACCCGAUACUCUCUGGAACACUUCCGGUGUCCGAAUACUAUCGUCCUAUAUAUCAAUCUUUACGUCUCGACCAUUUCGAUACUCCUCGUCAUGUCCAUGAUCUCAUCUAAGACUACGAACAACAUUCGUUCACCAAAUCACAUAACUCAUAUAAUACAAAAUCGUCAUCGAGCGUUAAGCUUGUGGAACCUACGGGUUCGAGAACUAUGUAGACAUGACCGAGAUACCUCUCUGGUCAAUAACCAAUAGCGGAACCAGGAUGCUCAUAUUGGCUCCUAAAUAUUCUACGAAGAUCUUUAUCGAUUGAACCGUAAUGACAACAUACGUUAUUCCCUUUGUCAUGAGUAUGUUACUUGCCCGAGAUUCGAUCGUCGGUAUCUUCAUACCUAGUUCAAUCUCGUUACAGACAAGUCUCUUUACUCGUUCCGUAAUACAUCAUCCCACAACUAACUCAUUAGUCACAUUGCUUGCAAGGCUUCUUAUGAUGUGCAUUACCAAGAGCGUGCAGAGAUACCUCUCCGAUACUUAGAGUGACAAAUCCUAAUCUUGAUCUAUGCUAACCCAACAAACACCUUCGGAGAUACCUGUAGGGCAUCUUUAUAAUCACCCAAUUAUGUUCUGACAUUUGAUAGCACACAAGGUAUUCCUCCAGUAUCCGGGAGUUGCAUAAUCUCAUAGUCGAAGGAAUAUGUAUUUGACAUGAAGAAAGCAAUAGCAAUAAAACCGAACAAUCAAUAUGCUAAGGUAACAGAUGGGUCUUACCCGUCACUUCAUUCUCCUAAUGAUGUGAUCCCGUUCAUCAAAUGACAACACAUGUCUAUGGUUAGGAAACUUAACCAUCUUUGAUUAACGAGCUAGUCUAGUAGAGGCUUACUAGGGACACGGUGUUUUGUCUAUGUAUCUACACAUGUAUCAAGUUUCCGGUUAAUACAAUUCUAGCAUGAAUAAUAAACAUUUAUCAUGAUAUAAGGAAAUAUAAAAUAAUAACUUUAUUAUUGCCUCUAGGGAAUAUUCCCUUCAGUGUGUAGCUUGCAGUGCUUCUAAUUUGUUGAAGUUCCUUCUGCUUCGUUACCACAUCAUAGGUGUGAAUAUGUCAAGCCGUCCAGUUUUUCAUACAUAUUCCAUCCUCGUAUCAUGACUUUGUGUUUCAUCAGAGAGUGUCCGUCAGUAUAAUGCAUGAAUGAGUUCUGAAGAGCGAAUUUUAUUCCUUUUUCUUGUCGGUUUGACCUCACAAUGCAAAAUCAAUAAAGCGUAAGCAAAUUGGUAAGGCAUUGGAUGAUGGUGGUCCUUCCGAGCAACUGAAAUGGAGGGUCUCUAUAGAUUCUACUCUGCCAUCCCCCCAACAAGAUUCGCAAGACAACGCCAGGCUAGACAGUCAACAUAGAUGUGUAGAUGAUGAGCACAUUUCCCCAAGUCCACCAUCAUAGGUGUUUCUCUAACUUCGCACUAUUAUAUGUGGUUGCAUGUUGCGUAUGAUGUCUAGUCUGUAUUGCUUCUAACUUUGUUGAAUUGCAUAUGCUUACUUUACAGAUAAUGCCUGUGAAUAUGACACAUGUUCCUGUUUCUAGAACAUACUAUAUCUGAUCACACCAUGUUCAUAUCCCACAUAAGUCACUUAUGAUAAGGCACCUUUAAGUCGCCAGUGGUUGUGUCUUGCAUAUGAUUUCUAGCAUGUACGACUUCUAAUUUGUUGAAAUGCCAGACAGUUUGAACUUGGCAGAGUGAUAUUGGUUGCAUCUUUCAUAUUGGUUGCAUAAUUCAUAUUGACUACUACUGCUAAGCCAGUUGAAGUCCCAAAUCUACAUAAUGAGUUCAUCUCCCAUACUCCACCAUAGCAGGUGCUUGCUCUAAGUUGACAGUGUGAUAAUUGGUUCCAUGUUGCAUAUGUUGUCUAGCCUGUAUUUCUUCUAUUUUGAUUAAAUUGCAUCUGUUGAGUUUAUACGUUAUACGUGUGCAUAUGACAUGCCUUUCUAUGUCUAGAAUACACUGCAUCUAUCUAUCAUACCAUGUUCUUACAUCAAAGUGCCGCUGUUGUGUAUCCCACAUCAGUCACUCAUGAUUGGACGCUCUUAACAUGGCAGUUUGAUAGUGGUUGCAUCUUGCAUUGAUUUCUAUGUUGUACUGCUUCUAAUUUUUUGAAAUGCCACUUAUGACAAGACACUUUUAACUUGGCGGAGUGAUAUUGGUUGCAUCUUUCAUAUGGUGUCUACCUUGCAUUACUUCUAUUUUCUUGAAAAUCCUUCUACUUAGUUUACACAUCGUAGCUGUGAAUAUGUCACGUCGUCCUGUUUUUCUUACAUAUUCCAUCCUCAUACGGUUGUCUUACAUCAAAGUAUUGCUUGUCUGUAUCAUGCAUCGAUGAGUUCUGAAGAGCGAUUUUAUUCUUUUGUGUUGUGGGUACGGCUUGACAUGGCAAAGUCAAAAAAGAGCAAGGAAAAGAAUAUAGUAGGGAAUGGUGUUACUCGUCGGGUGAAACGAAAAAGGAUCUGCCCUCGAGAUUUUGCUGGUACUUAUAGUGCAGUAUAAGGUCCAUAUCUACCGGCUAAAUCUACAAACAUAGUAUCACCUGCCCCACCAGCUGCAGGAUCCGCUUCAACUGUACUGGCAUCUCAAUGAGUUACUCGUUCGUUUGCUCCGGAACUGGCCAGUUCCCAAGCUGCCUUCACACCUAACACUACUUCCUAAGCACUACUGACACAACAGGACUUGGCAAGAUCAGAUGAACCUCAUGAGCAUCAACACCAAGACGGUACCUGACCGAGUCAAGUUGUAGUUGCAUGCUCCUUUAUAUGCACUCUCAUAGUUUGAUGUGCACUAACACUUUCCAUAUUCGUUGUUGAACUAGCACCACGGCGCAAGUGGAAACAGACAUUAGGGAUAAUGCUUGACAGAUUAACAAAAUCUAAAGGAGGAAGAAUGGAGAUCCAUUUUAAGGCAGGUUUAAAAAGGCCACGUGAUGCUACAUAGUCAGCCAAGUUAGUAUCAGAGGAAGCCGUUGCCGUUAGGUGUCAUGCACAUAUCCUCCCAACGUGGAUCUAGUACAGGAAUGAGAAAGACAAUCCCAGUUUAACACCUUCCUUGACCAUUUAUUCGUAAGUAAUGUUAUUCGUUGCAAUUUGUAAUAUUGUCUUGCUCUGUCCCAUACUUUCUAGCUUCCUCCUAAUAAGACUCACAUUCUUUUUUCAACAGGUGAGGUUCAAGUUGGAUCCGGAAGAUGAUGCAACUAAACAAGCAUGCACUCAUGUUUUCCAGUCUGCUCUGCGACAGUAUCGGUACCACCUUAGAAAAGCUCACUUUGAAGGCAAGGCUAACAAUGAAAUCGCCCAAACAUCUCCAGUGGAAUAUAUUACACAUGAAGACUAGACAACCCUUGUUAAACACUGGUCUGAUCCAAAGUAUCAAGUAGGGUAUAUGUAUUUGAUCAGACCACAUAUUGAACUUGUAUUUAUGUAUGUGCCUUACAAGUGUAUCUUCUUCUAGGCUAACUGUUUGAAGAACAAGACCAACUGUUCUAAGUGAAAUUCCAACAGACAACGGGAUCUUGUAGCUAUAUUGCACAAUGCGAGGCUCUUGUAAAUAGCUGCUAGUUCCUUCUUUUUUCUGUGCCAUACUAUCGUAUCUAUAUUGACUUGUUCCAAAUACAGAGGAAAGCCCAUGGACCAAAAAGAACCUGAACCGAAUGUAGUGCAAAUCUUCAAGGAUUGCCACACAAGUGUGAUGAAGGGCAUGAGCACACUAGUUCAAGCCGCUGUCGUAAGUCCUUACUCCUCCUGCCUUUGAACUGAUUGGUACUAUAAAAUGAUGUGUUCAUUUAACUGCUUGGUUUGAAGCCAAUGCCAGUUACUAUGUUCACUUUUAUACACAGUUGUCUUAAUGUAUCAUUUCACCUUACAUGGUUUAAAGAGAUGAAUGAUAUUCUUUUGGUCUUGAUAUGUAAUCUAGUUGUGAUAUUCACGUGGCCACACAAUGAUACAAUAGCCUGUUUGUUUUAUAUCUGUUUGCCCAUGAUAUGAAUGAUGUCAUACUAUGUUCAUCCUACUUUAAACCAUGUCUCUUUAUCCUUAGAUGUCCACGAAUGUGAGGAAAUAGACAAUACAGUAGGCAUGCUACAUGGACAUAUGUUCCGAAAGUGAUUUUAUUGUGUAGUUGGCACUACAAUAUAUGUUAAUGUAUUACAGUAGUUCACCAAAAUAAGUUAUGUAUAAACGUGAAACCUACUUUGUUUGUUUUGUCUCAUUAGUAACUUAUCUGGUACACUAAUCUACAAGUUCAAACUUUCAGCAAGUUAUGGAACAAAUGAUUCAACAACCACAACCACCUGAAGGUGACGAGGCUACCACAGGCACAAUGUGACCUCUUGCUGCAGUGCAUCAGUAUCUCUCCAGUAACAGUGAAAAAAGCACCUUCCUGCGUAAUUCUGGGUUGGUUGUCAAGGUAACCUCGUCCAAAUCGCCUACUGAACAAAAUCUUCCGGUUAGACAGAGUGAUAUAUCUGUGCUUCAGACACAAGUCCAAUCCCUAAUGGACGCCAUUUCGGAGACAAGAAUAGUGGUUGACAAAUGUCGUCAAGAUAUGAAUGGUUUUGAAACCAGACUAUCAGACAUUUGCUUCAUUGUUCAAGAGCAAUGGCGGAAAAAGGGGAAGAUCAUGCUACUCCAUCAGAUUCUACAGCCUGAAACAUUAGCACUCAGGUCAAAUGAUCUGUGCUUCUAUACAUUUGAUGGUGCUUUUAUCUGCAAGGACUGUAAACUUUAUGCCAACAGGCCUUUUGUUGUAUGGUUGGAAUUUAUUUUGUUGUGAUACAACAUUUAUGGUGCUGCCAAAGGCUGUAGAAAUAACGACGCUAUUUUUGUAUAGUGUAGGUUUAUCUUAGUAAUGUAUUCGGACAAAAGCUGCAUAGGAGCCCAAUGUGCCAACAUUCAUCGGGCCCAUUCCAAUUGGGCUAAAAACAAUUAUGGGCCGACAUUUGCAUGUAGCCCACAAAAAAUAUCUAGGCCUAAAUCAGUAUAGGCUUUCAUAUUUUUUGGUAGGCCUGUGCCCACAGUGGGCCUUUAACAGGCCUAAUCAUAAUUUGGGCCCCCGGUAACAAUAGGCCGUUUACAUGUGUAAAUAUCUCGAGCCCAUAAAAGCAAGGGCCUUUGAUAGGCCGAAAGUGAGAUUGGGCCCUGAUUGUGCCAAAUAACCCACUGGUCAUUAACAGGCCGAAAUGAAUCUUAGCUCGUGGUGGCCCAUUUACAAUGCGGAUCAUUUAGGGCCGAAAUUCAGACGGGUCGUAAAUGCACCGACCUACUACACGGACCUUUAACAGGCCGGAAGUUCAGUCGGGCUUGAUUAGUGUCAGUUUUAUAUGGGCCGUUAAUAGGACCGAUGUGACAUUGGGCCACAUAUGGCCCAUGGAGUUCAUCCGACGUUAACAGGCCAAAAUCACAACAUGAUGAAAGUGGCCCAAAUCCACAGUGGGCCUCUAACAGGCCGAAUGUCAGACAUGACCGAAUAUGACCCAAAUCCUUCACAGUCGUUUAUGGGCCGAAAGUUCCAAUGGCCGAUAAAUGGUCCCAAAUGAAGCAGGACCUUUAACAAGCCAGAAACACGUCGGGCCGUAAUUCGGCCAAAAUACUUAGCGGACUGUUAACGGGCCAGAAGUGACCAUGGGCCGCGAUGAUGACAAGUUUAGGACAGGCCGUUGAUGGGCUGAUUUGACACUAGACAUACGGGCCUUAACUACGAAUGGGUCGUCUGCAAGCAGGCCGUUAAUGGGACGGCCCGCUAAUUUUGACUGGAACAACCUUUUUAACCAAAAUGGGCCGCUAUUGGGCCUUGCCACAUAUCGACGUACCAUAGGCGCCUCCUGUCCAUUGGGAGAUUGACAUCUGUCCUUUCGUGGUGCUGACACGUGGUUGCUAUAGCCAAUGAUAAUUUCACACGUGGAAAAUCCUCAUUGGUCCCAUCUAUUAACGGGUUAUCGAAUCCAAACCGGAACCCGAUAGCUUAACAGUGACCCAUUACGGUGGAUGCCAUGUGUCGGUUACCCUUAACGAAAGCACUUCUAUGACGCAUGAUUUAUCGUCAUGGAAGUGGACACUUCCGUGAUGAUAAUUUUGGUAAUGUCAUGGAACACGUCUACGACAGCACAGGUAUGACUAUCUUGAUUCUAUCAUAAAAUCGUCAUGGGUGUACAUGCAUGACAAAAAACGUGACCUACUGCGACAAACACGUUUCAUCACGGAAGUGUAUUUUUGUAGUGUACCAAGAGAAAAUAGGAUACCAAAUGGAGAAAUCGUCACUUGAAAGAUAUCAUUAAAAGAUACAUCAAGGAAUGAGAUAUCCAUUGAUACACACUAUGAAAACAUAUCAAACUCCCAAAAGAGAGGAAGGUUCCAAACAAACCAAAUUCUCUACAAAGUUUCAUGAUGGCACAAAGUAUCAAAAAGAAAUGGCUUGCCUUCCACCGAUGAACACUUGAUAAGGAUCACAAGAUGAGUGUUCUAAAGAAACUAGGAUAGCUCCCCCAAGAGAUGUGCAACAAAGAGAAUUUGCAUUAGAAAACAAAAUGCACAAGAUGGGAUCACCACUUUCACUAUAACUAGAACACCACUAGACAAGAUCAAGAAAUAAACAAGAUCCACAAGUGGCAUGGAAGACAUCGGGAGUUGACACAUUCCUUGGCAAGAUAUAAGGGCAAAUAAAAAUAAGAGCCAAGGUAAAGAUGAUCAAUAAAUACCACCGCACAUAAGUGAGUACCAAUUGUCAAGAGACAAGAAGUAUUUGGAAAUAAUUCCCGGUGGUAGAUAGAAACGAUAUCCGGCAUCAUAUUCACACCAAACACAUGAGUAAAUUGCAACUUGUAGAGCUAACAUGCCACCUAGGAACAAGAUAAUCUACAAUAUCAACUCUAGUUGACAAUAUCUCAAAUUUACACAUUUUCUAGGCUUGUAAUAUACACAUAACAUAUUACUCCCCCAUAAUGUGAUACCAAUGAAAACUUACAAGAUGGAAAUAAAAAGCAACCAAGAGAUAAUUAAUGGACCAUUUUGAAUUUGAAUUUUGUCGGAUCUCGGGUUCCGGCAAAACCCUCAAGGUUCGAACACUUGGGUGCGCGCGAAGAUCUUCCCCUACCAGUCCACGUCCUAGCUUCGCUAAGAUCUCAAGGGAAAACUCAAUGAACUCGCAACACAAAGGACACAAGAUUUAUACUGGUUCGGGCCACCAUUGUGGUGUAAUACCCUACUCCAAUGUGGUGGUGGUGGAUUGCCUCUUGGGCUAGGGAUGAACAGUACAAGGGGGAAGAACAGCCUCCUGAGCCGAGGUGUUCUUGUGCUUGGUGGGUGUGAGGAUGAACUGAAUGAGUUCAGCCCCCUCCUACUGUGGUGGCUAAUCCUAUCUAUAGAGGCCCCGAUCCUCUCCCUAAAUAUUGAGCACGAAGGGAGCCAACAACGGCCAAUUUGAAAGGGGAUAGCUAGUACAACUUAUCCUAACAAAAGCAGUCUUCGCCUGCAAAAGGCUCUGGUGGUGACGCCGCCUUGGGCUCCAUGGUGACCUCCGUCUUGCCGUCUUGCUGGUCAUGGUCUUGUUGCACUGAUAUGGAAACCUUUGCUUGACGCCUUGGUACUCCGUGCCUGCGCUUGCUUCCUUAGCACCAAAGAGGAAACAAGGACACUAUGCGCGCUGGCGCCCGCCUGAUCUUGAUCAUCAUGGCUCACGUCAUUGGAACCUCAUGAGGUUUGCCUUGCCUUGAACUCUCCGCCCCUUGCGAGCCAGCCUGGUGAGGGUUCUCCCGAGGAGGUCUUGUGUCAUCCACCUCGCGAGGCUUGGCCCCUCGCAAGGGUCUUGAGUGCUUGUUGGUGAAGAUGGGCCGUACGGGCCCGCUCGCAAAGCCACGCCGUGGGCCGCAGGCAGGAAAGUCUGGGGACCCCCAUUCCCAAAACACCCACAGUAGCCCCCGGGCCCAAGGCGUGCUCGGGCUUAGCUUCGAGGCGAAGCCAAAGGUCAAGUGCGGACCCACGGGCCCCAAUAGCCUGCAGCCUUGGUCGACGCGUGGCGGUUGAUUGGACGUGGGUGCCUCCUCUUCCUCAUGCUGCCUCGGCAACUGCCCGACUUGACAAGUCCAUGUGACAUGCAAGGAAAAACCAUCAUUACCUGUGAUCGUGGGGGGCGCUGGUUGGCCUUCUCCUACUAUAAAUGGGAGGGGGGCAGAGCCCCCAUCGCCCAUCUCUUCUUGUUUCGCUUGCUUCUCCCUCCUCGCGUCGUUGCCCAUCUGAAGGUUUUCCACGGCGGAGGAAGGAAAGACUCCCCUCGACGGGCGGGUACCACUCCCGCCGAAGAAGAGGCUGACCCACCGCCGCGACAAGGCGACGAUGCAGGUGGUGACAAGGCCUUGGUGCGAGCGGCCGCCUCCCGGGUAUCCGUUACCCCUGUACGCCCAAGCCGGGGGCUCAGGAGGGAGAGUCGACGAGCGUCAGCGCGCGCGCCGUGGCCAUGGUCGCCGUGCCGCGGUGGCACGCGUCGCCGCCCCUGGAGUCCACACCACAAACUCCUCGCGCGAGUUCGUGCUGUGGGCGGCGAUGCCCUCGAGCACUUGGAUCCGCUUCGCUUCCUUCUUCUUAGCCGAGAUGCCACCGAGGGGGCCCCUCGAGCUUUGGCUACAGCACGCCGACUGCGACACGCCGGCGACUGGAGCGGAGGUUGAGGCCGUCUCCUCGGGGAAGAUCUUCAUGACCUCAGGCUUGGGUGAGGUCGCCCAAGUGUGUCGUGCGAAAGGCGCUCUUGCGAUCCGCUUCGUGUACGAUGGUGCCUCCAUGCUGUUCUUCAAGGUCUUCGACACAGAAGGCCACCGUCUGGAGUGUUCCCCAGGUGGGGUCAUCAGGCUGGCGCCACAGUUGGGGCAGGGUCUGCUACCCGCGUCGCUAGCGGCUCCUCUGGUAGCAGCGGCAACACUUGGGAGUCCGGUGAUUCUCCCGAGCUCUAUGAGACUCCGGAGAUGAGCGACGAUAGCUACGUGCCCCCAACCUCCCGCCGAGCCCGGAGCAGGGCUGCAGCGUUAGGCCGCCGCCGCUGAUCUGGAUGAGGUUGGCGCCGGCCUCUGGUGGCCCACUGUUGAUGAUGGCGUCAUCCACAGGGGCACGUGUAGUUAGGAUUCCCUAAGUUCUUGCCUUUUGUUCCCUGCGAGGAAUCAAGUAAUGCCCCAUGGGGGUGUGUAAAGGUUUUGUAAUGCCUCUUGUCAAUAUUGUCCUCAGUAUGAACUUGCGCGAGUCCUACUUCAGCUCGGUCUCCCUUUCCGACCUCGCGACGACUUGGCGCUCUAUGCUGACAGGUCCUGGUCCCCAGGCAGGCUGCAGCCGUCGCUAGUAUGCCAGGUCGCGUGCCGUGGUCAAGGCCAGGAGGUGAGCGGCCUGAGGUUUAGUAAGAGUUCCUGAGGCGCGAUGCUCAGGAGGCCCCCUUUAGUGCUCAAGCAGCCGCCGAGAGGUAAGAAAUGGGGGUGACGUUGCUGCAGCAGGGCUGCAGUUAGUAUGGUUCUUAGUCCUUAGCGGUUUAGCCAACCCAGGCUCGGGACUUAUCUUGACGGUCCAGAGUUGAUUCCUCAUGAUGCGCCAGAUUCGUGCAUAGGCGUCUGGAGCAUAGCUAAGCCAGGCCCAUGCGAGCCUCCCCCUUCUCCACGCUCUCCUUCGUGCUCUGUGUCCUCAGGUCCCGGCCCUCGAGCGAGCUCAGCCGCCGCUGGUAUGCCAGAUCAUGUGUCAUGGUCAAGGCCAGGGGGUGAGGGCUGGAGAGCCAGUAACAGCUCCUAAGUCGCGAUGCUCAGGAACCCCCCUUUUAACGCGCAAGCAGAUUGCAUGGGAGAAGAAGGAGCUCGCGGUCCCGCCUGCCAUCGCCUUUAGGAGAUUCCUGCAAGCCAGCACAAGGAGAGACACAGUUUUCCAUUACAGUUGCUGGCCCGCCGCUGGUCGCUCCGCGAGGAGAUGAAGGCACUGAGGGCCUGGUGAGGUGACAUGCGUGGGGCAUGCCGUGAGCCAGAGCUCAACCGCUCAGGUUUGUCGACGUUGCAAGGACGGACCCGAGCAGAAGCAUCGUGCCAGCGUGAGUAGCCCCUGUGGCGGGUGAGAAUCAAGCAGGUGAUGGUCAUAGGUAGAUUAAGCAUGGAAAGCAAACUGGCUUAGGUAAAUGCAUGAAUGAUACGCGCCACUGGGUCCGGCCCGAGCGGCUUGGGGAUGAUGCAGCCCGAGGGGCGCCCCCAGCAAGGUAAGCUAAAGACAUAAAAAAGAAGGGAUACAUGCCACAUGGACGGACCCAUGCAGCCUGGGAAUAAUGCAGCCCCCUGGGCUCUCCCAGCUAAAUGACCUUGGAAAAUGUCACCCGGUUCCAUUAAUGAAGGGGUGUUGAGGCAGCUGAAGGUACGCGGCGAAGGGGUUGCCCCUCAUGAGCCACCAGGGCCCUGAUCCUCAGGAGGCCCUAGGGAUCCAAGCGGUUCCUUGAGGACCGUCUCCAUCUCCAUUAGGACGGCGUGGUGCCUGGCCUCCUGACCCACCAUGACGCUCCACAGGUUGCGCUGGAAGGCAGCAGCCACACUCGGCAGGCCGAACGGCAAACGAACAUAGCUGUGAGGUGGACCUUCGUAGAGCCCAACACACGAAGGCCAGAAGCGCUCAUGAGAUGCGACUCGGUUGAGCCCUGGUAUGUCGAUGCAGACGUGCAGCUCACCACCCUCGCUUGGGUGGGGAGCAACGCCAGGUGGGCGGCGGUCGCCGCGUAUUGAUCUUGCUUCCUGAAGCUCCUGAGAUACCUUGGUGAUGAACUCCUGAGCGCCGGGUGCUCCUUGCCCAUUGUCCUCCUGAGGGAGACGUCCCGCGAAACACGCCUCCAAGUGGUGCCCGAGCACCUCCCACGUGACGUUGGCAAGGUCUGAGGUCGUCUAGAAGAGAGCCCCCGAGCCCUGCCCGGGGAGGGCGCCAGGCGCGCCUUCCUAUGCGACAGAGGGAGGCGCCCCAGGUGCGGGCGCUGAUCCUAACGAGGUGCCACUUGCGGCGCUACCCUCCUUCGGUCCGACACGGAGUAGCUGCUUCUUCUUCUUGGGGACGACCUCAGGAGGGUACCGAGCUGCAUUGUUGCCGGGGUCUUCGAUUGACGCUGCUUGGAAGGCGCGCUCGAGGGAGCACACCGCAUCUCUUUCUUCGCAGGGGACUGUGAUGAUCCCGCCGCUUCCUGGCAUCUUGAGGACGUUGUAGCCGUGGUGCGUCACGGCCGUGAACUUGGCCAGGGCCGGAUAACCCGAGGAUGGCAUUGUAUGGCAGACGGAUGUGGGCAAUGUCGAAGUCGAUGAGCUCGGUGCGGUAGUUGUUGCGCUGUCCGAAGGUAACGGGGAGGCGGACCUGCCCAAUCAGGGUGGUGGAGCCAUCGGUCACUCCUAAGAAAGGCUUGCUGGGUUGAAGCUUAACAUACGACACUUGGAGGUUGUCGAACGUGUCGACGGACAGGACGUUGAGCCCUGCACCGCCAUCGAUGAGAGUCUAGGUAACUUGCACGUUGCUAAUGACUGGUGAACAGAGCAUCGGGAGGGCGCCAACGGUAGCCGCACACUUGAGCUGAUCUAUCAAGAUGAACGUGAUGGUGCACUUGGACCAUCUGAGCGGGCGCGUGGCCUCGAGCUUGGGGAGGACUGCAUUCACUUCACGAGCGAACUGUUUGAAGAUACGUUGUGAGGCUGGGGCUUGACCUCCGCCCAAGAUGCAGGUGAUGGCACGUGGCUCCUGGAAGCCCCCAACCCCCUCGUCCUGAUGGUGGUCGUCAUUCCUUCUUGGUGGUGGCGGUAGUGGAGGGAGGCCGGCGUUGCCCUGGGGACGAUCCACACGAGGCUGAUCCCUCCAGGCGCCCUCGUGAGACUAAUCCUGCCAGCGGUCUUCACGAGGCCGGUCGCGCCACUCCUGGCGCGGGCCACGGUCAUCCCAGCAUCCGCCACCACGUCCUCCUCCUCGGCCGUAGCCCCGGUCGUUGCGCUCGGGGCGUCGACCGAAGCGUCCUUCUCGAAUGGCUAUGAGAUCUUGACAGUCGCUGGUGUUGUGGCUAUGCAAGUUAUGGAAGGCGCAGAAUGGUCGGCUGCUCUUGGAUGACUUGGGCUGGUCCCUGCCGCGCUUUGUGUCCGGCUCCACCGCGAGCACGACUGCUGUCGGUGUCGAUUUCGAGUAGGGGGUCCCGAACUGUGCGUCUAAGGCGGAUGGUAACAAUAGGCAGGGAACAUGAUGUUUACCCAGGUUCGGGCCCUCUUGAUGGAGGUAAUACCCUACGUCUUGCUUGAUUGUUCUUGAUAAUCUCUACUCCUAAUGGACGAGUUGGUUGAAUAGUCCCACCACUUUCGUCUGAUUUUUUUUCGCUGGUUUUUUUCGUCCCCCUCCCACCAGCCCACCGGUUGAUUUUUUCUCUCCAUCAUUUCCUUGUAAACAAACACUUUCCUAUUGUAUAAAAAGUCACAGAUCUAGCUUUCCUGACUUACCCAAUCAACCUUUUCAUCUCACCAAUGUAAUUUUCUUUAGGAAACAAAUAAUGGAUUUUAAGUAAACAAAUAACUAACUUUAUUUAAUGAAAAAAAAUCCAAUCUACAAAUCAUCUUUCUUUUUUUUAGGAAAUCUACAAAUCAUCUUUCAACUCCUUCGUCUCCACCGUCCUUUUCCACCCCGAUCGAUUCUUCCUUCCACCCAUUUAUUUCCUUCCAAUUAUACCUGUUUUCUUCCACGAUAAUCCGUUCCUGAAAAUUCUCCCAUGAUCUCCCCAGAAAUCUCGUGCCCCUCUCCCUCUCGCCAUUACUAGAUCGGGACCGCGCCUUGGCGCGAGGGUGCCGGUCCCAACGAUAUGGUCAAGCAGGUAAUGAUCAUUUAGUAAGAAGCAAGAUAUUAUCGAGUUCAACAUCAUCAUGAAAUUAUAAACACUCAGUUAGUUCAUUAGACCACAAAACCUAAUAAAUACAACAUUAAGUUCAAAAAUAAGAGCACGAACACGAGAGAGGAAGUACUAAUAGCAGGAACAUAAUAAGAAAGCAAAAGCCAGGCAUACUGAUGGUAGAGGAGGUCAAACUACAAAGCAACAGCUAUUAGGCAUACUAAUUAGUAGCUCUGUCCAACUGCCUUGUCGGUCAACUUCAUAGGUGCGCUUAGAUGAUCAACCGCGUGGCCUUGGUGUGAAAGCAACUGGCGCAAGCACAUCAUGCUCUUGUGCCUGAGACUGUCUUUUUAUUUGAAUAAUCUCAGCCCAUGUGGGAAACUAAAGCAUGAUGGCACGAACUUCAGAAGAUGUCGUGUACUCAAAGAUGACUUGAAUUCGAUGGUUCUACAAAACAGAUAAAAAUAAAGAUCAUUACUCUAUUGAUAAGUAAGGAAAAGGGA
rnacentral:lncRNA from 1 species